rnacentral:lncRNA from 1 species
UCGGUUGUUAAGUAGUUUUUCUUGCGUGUGUUAAUUUAUAUGCACUGGUUUGGUGAGAUUAAUUUGUCUUAGUUUGGCUGUGUCGUACUACAAGAGAUACAUACGAUUGGGUGUGCGUGUGUGAAUGAACAGUAAUUUGAUUAAGCAUGUGUAACACUUGUAUUUGUUUGAUGAAAUGUAAUUUGCAGAAUAUUCAUUCAUUAGUCGCUGCGGAUUUCCAAUAGCAUUUAUCUGUUAUGUACAUUACGUGGUACUCCAACACAAGCUUAUUUCAUUUCAUGAAUGAAUUUGAUGCCGGUUUCAUCCUUUUGUCCGAAAAGCACAAUAAGCUUGUUUGAUGCAAGUGUAUGUCCAAUGGGAUGUUGAAUGGUCGUGGCCCAUGUCCUGGAGAAGAUAGUGUAUAUGUAGUACGGUAUCAGCUUCUUUUUUUGAAUAGUCUGGAUUGCUUAUCGCUAGUAUGUACCAAUGCAAGUUCCAAGAUGUGAUUCAUUUCCCCCUUUUUUUAGAAAUAGUUCAUAUUUAGAAGAUUUUGGGAAAAGUUUGCCAUGAAAGAAGAUGGGCUGGCAGGGAUGAAUUUUGUCGCCCAUGUUUACAUGUGGCCCACUUGUUGGAUGCACUACCAAGUUUAAAAUGUCAAAUCAAAAUAUAUGUGAUCCAUAUUAACUAGGAGUAACAAAAUUUCUCCAUUUUUUCCUAACACCAUUCAACACCCAAAAUUUAUAUUGUUUGAUUUAUGAAUCAAUAUGAAAAUAUACUUCAUGAUAGUUAGUACUGGUAACAAUAUUUCUCCAUUUUUGUACUAUUAACAUAUAGUACUCCAUUCAACAUCCAAACUGUAAGGGCUACUUUGCUUCAAGGGAAAUCUAAAGGAUUUUUGAAGGAUUGAAAUCCACAGGAUUUUUCAUACAUUGGUCCUUUAAUUCAUAGGAUUGGAUCCCAUAGGAAUUUUUCCUAUGCAAUCCUUUUUACUAUGUUUCAUAGGAAAUCUAACAGCCACUCCAACAUCUUUUUUACCAUUCCCAUGUUUUAAAAAUCCUGCGAAUCAAAGAGGCCCUAACUAGUUUUAUUAUACUAACAUGAUCACUGCAUGUAUGACAAAGUUACUUGAUUAAUUUCUUGUGGCGUAGUCUAAAUCCCGUAUAGAAGAUCGUGUAUACCAUCUUUUGGAGAUGCUCUUACUCGGGUAUGAUCUAAGGUGGAGUUUCUGUCAGAUAAGCCCUUGAGCUAGAUCCUAACUAUGCUACACUAUGCCCUGCUAGACUAAAGAUAUACCAAAUGCAGUUAUUCAUUGAAUUUAAUGCAUAUGAAGGCAUGCAAACAAGCAAUUGAAGGGCCGGAAAGCCAAAUUUACCCUUUCAAUUUAUGUAGAAAAUUGGCUUAAUUACUUCACAAAUUCGUUACUCUUUUUGCAUGUAUCGCUGAUUAAUUUCCACUGAUCGUGGAUCCAAGGAUAUGAACAUCCAGAAAAUGGAGUGCACAGACCACAGGAGGAUUACAUCAGUCAAAUUCGGUGAGAUCGGAGAGAUAAAACACAAAAUGUACCUAGGUUCAGACCCUGGCAUGUCCUUCCUUUUAAUCUUUGCUGCAAUAUGUCAAGAACAGCGUCAAACUGAGCAACGUGAUGCAUCGGUGUUUGUUGCAAACGUCAAUACAAUAGAUUUUUUUCUUUUUCUUUUUUGCAAAAAAGAGGAACUAACGACUUUAGGUGACAUAUGUGUGCAAGUUGUGACUUUUACGCUAUGAACUACUCCCUCUGUCCCAAAAUGUAAGACGUUUUUGAGGCUUAGACUAAGUCUCAAAAACGUCUUACAUUUUGGGACGGAGGGAGUAGUUUUUAAUACUAUACGCUUGUAUAGCAACCUCUGAUGUAGUAUGAGGCAAAAGCAAGGGGUAUCCGCUGGAUUGAAUACCGUAUGGGAAUCAUACGCUCAAGAGUCGUACGCAGAGUACUUUACUUUCAUACUCAUAUAAAGAUAUAGCUCAAUCUCCUCUCCGCCACCGACAAAUAGUACCACUUCGGGCAGGUUAUGAUCGCUUACUAUGCAAGGUGCUAUGAAGGGGCCGGUAAUCAUUUCUGUCAAGGAGCCCAUCAUUCAGAUUGAAAAAUGUGGGUUAUGUAGGUAUAGUAUACCUGUUAUAUAUUCCUUUCCCUGUAUAUAAAUUCCGUUGUAAGCGUGCAUACAAACUCCGCUCCGUGGCCGGCAUAAACUACAAGAAGAUGAUCACACUCACCCCAUAUCUUUUCCAACACAUGAAUGGCCAUCGCCAUGCCGGUGAAGGUGACCUUUGCAGUUUCCAGGCCGGCGCGGCGAGAUGGGUGGUGCUGCGAGACGUCUUUGCCUUUCACCUCUCUGGCGUCGGUCGUGGUGACCCUCCUGCCGGGGAAGCCAACAAAACCCGAGCGCUCACGGGCGGCGCAUCCUUACAAAUCACCCGUACCAGCCAGCCAGCUGCUGCCUUUCCCUGCCUCUGACCCUGACCAGGAUCGGCACCAGCCACUUGCAUUCUAGUGCAAUUGCAACGUGAAUUGCUGGGUGGAUCCAUCGGCCGGCACCAACCGUAUCAUGCAUGCAUGUUGCUUGACUGACCGCCAUUUUCGUGUCCCAUCAUUAUACAUACAUGCAUGCAUGUGACGCGUUUUCACUCUACUGUUGCACGAUAAGACGGCCCAUGAUGAAAUUUCAUUAGAAGGAAAGAAGAAAGACGUACUCCCUCCGUAAACUAAUAUAAGAGCGUUUAGAUAACUAUUUUUAGUGAUCUAAACGCUUUUAUAUUAGUUUACAGAGGAAGUACUAUGUAUUGUUUGCCGUACGUUGUAGUACGCAGAGUAACAAAAAGCCUCCCACCAGCAUUUGUAAAAAAAAUCUUCGGCUCGCCUCCGCCCGCGACCUCACGGCCAUCUAUGUCAUCACCGGCUCCGGCUCGGCCUCAUUGGCGAGCCUAUAUGCUCUCAUGUCUCAGGCUCGAGCCUUCGCCCCUCUCUCAAAUGAAAUCGACUGACACAAUUUCCAAACACACUCAACUAAGAUUUAUCAACACCUUUAAUGAAAUCAUUUUACAAUUGUCAACAUGCUAAUUGCGUUGAGAUUUGCCUACUACUUUUGUAUUGUGCUUUUACGGUUAAACUCUUAAUUUAACUAGUAACUUAUGCUUCUUUAGAUUCCUUAAAUCGGUUGAAUGGUAUUGACAGUCUUGACCAAAAUGAUGACUCCAUUUGCAAAGCAAAUCUCUUAGCAUGCUCGAUUAACAACAUCGUUCAAGCAUGACACGUUGCGUGCAUGGACAAGUUAUGGGAAGAUCAAUGCUCCUUAAUAUUGGUCAAACAUUUAUAAGUUUUGCCUGGUUAAGAACAGAUGCAUCUUAUAUUCUGAAACGGAGUGAGGAUUCCGCAUGGGGCUCGGUGGCCUGGUGACAACCAACCAACAGAUGCCGCGUCAUUCGGUAAUAACCUAUCCGUAACAAUGAAAUGAAAUCCGAAGGUGUAGCAUCACUGCAAUAUGUAUCUACGUCGUAUAUACGCAUACAGGGUCAACACGCAGAUCUUUGUCCCAUCAUCUUUGACCUUGACCGUGACCGUGACGUGGACUAUAUGCAGCGCAUGUAGGGUCGAUCGACAUGCAGAUCUUUUUGGUACUUCGUCUUUGACCGUGACACGUGCAUGUCGACCAAAUGUUUUAGUGCGUAUCACAUGCUUGCAGAUAUAGGAACAAAAACUAUACGUCUGCGAUGUUUGGUGUCUUCUGUCCGAAGGAGCGUACGGAUGGGACGGUUUCGUGGCUUGCUGUGUGCAUGGCUCACACUGCUGCCGAUCCCACUGCAGAGCCUCGUCAUUUUCCGGCUGCACUGGGUAUUCCUCAUUGGCAUGAUGCAAUGGAACAAGAGUUUCAGGCCCUCCAAAAGAAUGAUACUUGGCAUCUUGUUCCUCCAGUGUCUGGCGUCAACGUCAUUGAUUUCAAGUGGGUUUUCAAAGUCAAGAGACAUGCUGAUGACUCCAUUGAACGCUACAAGGCACGGUUAGUUGCCAAGGUCUUGAAACAGAGGUAUGGUCUUGAUUAUGAAGACACUUUCAGUCCAGUCAUCAAGCCUACUACCAUUCGAUUAAUACUAUCUCUUGCGGUUACUCGCGGAUGGUUCCUUCGUCAGCUUGAUGUGCAGAAUGCUUUUCUACAUGGCAUUCUGGAGGAGGAGGUUUAUAUGCGUCAACCACCUGGUUUUGUUGACCUGACAUGACCUCAUCAUCUCUGUCGUCUGGUUAAGGCACUAUAUGGACUCAAACAGGCUCCUUGUGCAUGGCAUGCUCGCCUUGGAUCUGUUCUUCUGGCUCUUGGGUUUACUCCCCCCACUGCUGAUACGUCACUGUUUCUCCUCCAGCGCCCUGAGGUUACGAUGUAUCUCUUGGUUUAUGUUGAUGAUAUCAUCCUCAUCAGUUCCUCUACUGCUGCUGCUGAUCGCCUUGUGAUUGCUCUCCGUGAUGAUUUUGCUGUCAAAGAUUUAGGUUCUCUUCACUUUUUCCUUGGUCUUGAGGUUUCAUGGUCCUCUGCUGGUUUGACUCUCACUCAGAAAAAGUACUCCUUGGACUUGUUGCGUCGUGCUAGAAUGCUCAAAUGCAAACAUGUUAACACUCCGAUGUCUGCCACUGAUUAGUUGUCUGCUCUUGAUGGUGACUCUCUCUCUCGUCUGAUGAUGCUACUGAGUAUCGCAGUCUCAUUGGUGGUCUGCAAUACCUUACUAUUACCAGGCCUGAUAUCUCCUAUGCAGUCAACCGUGUCUGUCAGUUUCUGCAUGCACCCAGGACGUCUCACUGGUCAACUGUGAAGCGUAUUUUGCGCUAUUUCAAUUUUACUGCCUCCUAUGGUUUGCUUCUUCAGUCUGCACCGUCGUAUGAGCUCUCAGCUUUCUCUGAUGCAGAUUGGGCUGGUAGUCCGGAUGACAGGCGAUCCACAGGGGGUUAUGCGGUAUUUCUGGGUCCUAACUUGAUCGCCUGGAAUGCUCGCAAGCAAGCAACAAUGUCUCACAGUAGUACUGAGGCUGAGUACAAAGUUGUUGCUGAUGCGACUGCUGAGAUCAUAUGGGUACAGUCUCCGUUGAGAGAGUUGCGUGUUCCUCAAGCUCGUCCUCCGGUCCUAUGGUGUGACAACAUUGGUGCUACAUAUCUUUCUUCUAAUCCGGUGUUUCAUGCUAGGACAAAACACAUUGAGGUGGAUUAACACUUUGUUUAGGAACAUGUUGCACACAAGCUACUCUGUAUCAAGUUCAUCUCAUCAAAGGAUCAACUUGCUGACAUCUUCACGAACCCUCUUCCAUAACCAUAGUUUGUAGGAUGUAGGCGCAAUCUUAACUUGCUUUGUAUUUCAGGACAUAGUUAAGAUUGAGGAAGGGUGUUAGACUGUAUAUACGUAGCCUCUGUAUAGGAUGUAGGCGCAAUCUUAACUUGCUUUGUAUUUCAGGACAUAGUUAAGAUUGAGGAAGGGUGUUAGACUGUAUAUACGUAGCCUCUGUAUAUACAGUGUAUAUACAGAGGCUACGUAUAUACAGUCUAACACCCUUCCUCAAUCUACUGUAUAUACAGAGGCUACGUAUAUACAGUCUAACACCCUUCCUCAAUCUUAACUAUGUCCUGAAAUACAAAGCAAGUUAAGAUUGCGCCUACAUCCUACAAACUAUGGUUGUGGAAGAGGGUUCGUGAAGAUGUCAGCAAGUUGAUCCUUUGAUGAGAUGAACUUGAUACAGAGUAGCUUGUGUGCAACAUGUUCCCAAACAAAGUGUUAAUCCACCUCAAUGUGUUUUGUCCUAGCAUGAAACACCGGAUUAGAAAAAAGAUAUGUAGCACCAAUGUUGUCACACCAUAGGACCGGAGGACGAGCUUGAGGAACACGCAACUCUCUCAACGGAGACUGUACCCAUAUGAUCUCAGCAGUCGCAUCAGCAACAGCUUUGUACUCAGCCUCAGUACUACUGUGAGACAUUGUUGCUUGCUUGCGAGCAUUCCAGGCGAUCAAGUUAGGACCCAGAAAUACCGCAUAACCCCCCGUGGAUCGCCUGUCAUCCGGACUACCAGCCCAAUCUGCAUCAGAGAAAGCUGAGAGCUCAUACGACGGUGCAGACUGAAGAAGCAAACGAUAGGAGGCAGUAAAAUUGACAUGGCGCAAAAUACGCUUCACAGUUGACCAGUGAGACGUCCUGGGUGCAUGCAGAAACUGGCAGACACGGUUGACUGCAUAGGAGAUAUCAAGCCUGGUAAUAGUAAGGUAUUGCAGACCACCAAUGAGACUGCGAUACUCAGUAGCAUCAUCAGACGAGAGAGAGAGUCACCAUCAAGAGCAGACAACUAAUCAGUGGCAGACAUCGGAGUGUUAACAUGUUUGCAUUUGAGCAUUCUAGCACGACGCAACAAGUCCAAGGAGUACUUUUUCUGAGUGAGAGUCAAACCAGCAGAGGACCAUGAAACCUCAAGACCAAGGAAAAAGUGAAGAGAACCCAAAUCUUUGACAGCAAAAUCAUCACGGAGAGCAAUCACAAGGCGAUCAGCAGCAGCAGUAGAGGAACUGAUGAGGAUGAUAUCAUCAACAUAAACCAAGAGAUACAUCAUAACCUCAGGGCGCUGGAGGAGAAACAGUGACGUAUCAGCAGUGGGGGAGUAAACCCAAGAGCCAGAAGAACAGAUCCAAGGCGAGCAUGCCAUGCACAAGGAGCCUGUUUGAGUCCAUAUAGUGCCUUAACCAGACGACAGAGAUGAUGAGGUCAUGUCAGAUCAACAAAACCAGGUGGUUGACGCAUAUAAACCUCCUCCUCCAGAAUGCCAUGUAGAAAAGCAUUCUGCACAUCAAGCUGACGAAGGAACCAUCCGCGAGUAACCGCAAGAGAUAGUAUUAAUUGAAUGGUAGUAGGCUUGAUGACUGGACUGAAAGUGUCUUCAUAAUCAAGACCAUACCUCUGUUUCAAGACCUUGGCAACUAACCGUGCCUUGUAGCGUUCAAUGGAGUCAUGGGCAUGUCUCUUGACUUUGAAAACCCACUUGGAAUCAAUGACAUUGACGCCAGACACUGGAGGAACAAGAUGCCAAGUAUCAUUCUUUUGGAGGGCCUGAAACUCUUGUUCCAUUGCAUCAUGCCAAUGAGGAAUACUCAGUGCAGCCUGAAAAUGAUGAGGCUCUGAAGUGGGAUCGGCAGCAGUGUGAGCCAUGCACGCAGCAAGCCACGAAACCGUCCCAUCCGUAAGAAGACACCAGACUGGCUCCGUGUGCGAGGACGAAGAAUGACAGCAGGUUCUGCUAGCAAGGUCGGUGCAGCAGAGGAUGUUGGUGAGGCCUGCACCGAGUAGGGCGAGUCGGGCUCACCGGUGACCGGAACAGGGCUGGUCGGCGACCCUGGCGCCAAAGCAGACCCGGCCAAAGCAGGUGACGGGGCCUCCGGGCCAGUGACAGCAGCAGCCGGCCCGGGCGAGAGACCCGCUAGUGGCCCGGGCGAGCCACGCAAGGCGGGCGCUAGUGAGGCUUGCGAGCCGGGUGAAGGUGGCGCUGGCGAGGCUGCUAGUGCGGACGAGGCCAGCGAGCCAGGCGAGGCAGGCGCUAGCGAGCCCAGCGCCCACGGGGCCAGCGAGGAGCCAGGCCGACCCGGCGCCCGCGAGGCGGACGGGGGAGCCUCCACAGGGGAGACGGGGACAGGUUGGCAGGUGCCGCAUGUCAUGCAUGGCGCAUGCACGUCCCGAUCAGGACGCUCAUCGGUGACCUGUUCAUCAAGUAGCUCGAGCCGGGCACCGCGUCCAAUACCUGCAGCAUGAUUAGGAAGCAACGCAGUGGCAUAUGCAACAUCCAGGCAUAGGUGUGGACACAUGCACUGGUGGUGUAGAAGUGGUAUAGUUAGUCGGAAGUGCAUGAAAAGGAAAAACAUUUUCAUCAAACACAACGUCACGAGAGAUGUAGGCGCGGUUGGUAGAAACAUGCAAGCACUUGUACCCUUUGUGAAGAGAACUAUACCCGAGAAAGACGCACUUCUUAGACCGAAACUCUAGCUUGCGCUUGUUGUAUGGACGUAAGUGAGGCCAAAAUGCACACCCGAACACUUUGAAGAAUGUGUAGUCUGGAUUCUCAUUAAGAAGAAGUUCAAGAGGGGUUUGCAUUUUCAGAAGUCUCGAGGGAAGCCUGUUUAUGAGAAAACAAGUUGUAGAGAAAGCAUCACUCCAGAACCGAAACGGGACGGAGGCAUGAGCUAGCAAGGUUAGGCCAGUUUCAACAAGGUGACGAUGCUUACGCUCGUACCAUUCUGCUGAUGUGUAUGAGGACAUGACACGCGGUGCAAAAUCCCAAGUUUGUUAAAAAACGAGUCGAGNNNNNNNNNNNNNNNNNNNNNNNNNNNNNNNNNNNNNNNNNNNNNNNNNNNNNNNNNNNNNNNNNNNNNNNNNNNNNNNNNNNNNNNNNNNNNNNNNNNNNNNNNNNNNNNNNNNNNNNNNNNNNNNNNNNNNNNNNNNNNNNNNNNNNNNNNNNNNNNNNNNNNNNNNNNNNNNNNNNNNNNNNNNNNNNNNNNNNNNNNNNNNNGAAGACGCUCAACAUGUGCUUGAAACUGAAUAAAGACAUCGAACACAUCAGACUUACGUUUAAUAAGAUAUAACCAAGUAAAACGGUUGUAAGCAUCAAUGAAACUGACAUAAUAAUUGUGACCGCUAAUAGAUGUCUGGGCAUGACCCCAUACAUCAGAAAACACAAGCUCAAGAGGAUGUUUCACAACACGACUAGACUCUGAAAAAGCAAGUUGAUGACUCUUGCCCUGCCGACAGGCAUCACAAAUAGUUUCAGCAGUUUUAUUGGACACAACUGGUAGAUCAUGACGAUGCAAAACAUGUCGAACUAUGGGAGCCGCCGGGUGACCAAGGCGCGCAUGCCAGUGUGUAGGCGACACACGAACACCAUUGAACGCCUGAGGAGAGGACGACAUGGAAGGUGGGCGCGGCGCAUCAAGUGCAUACAGGCCAUGGCGAAGACGACCACUAAGUAGAACGGCCCUCGUGUCCCGAUCCUUGAUAAAGAAACGAAAAGGGUGAAACUCAGCAAGGAUAUUAUUAUCACGAGUAAGUUGAGGAAUGGACAACAAACUACGUGUAGCAGAAGGAACACGAAGGACAUUAGAUAGAUGCAAUGUGCGAAAAUUGUGUGCAAGGAGAGAAGCCUAACCAACAUGGGAGAUGCGCAUACCUGCUCCACUGGGGGUGUGCACCUAAUCAUGACCACGAUAUGGCUCCUGAGCAGAGAGCUUACCCAUCUCACCGGUGAGGUGGUUGGUAGCUCCAGUGUCCAUGUACCACACAGGAUCAACGGAGUAAGACGGAGUACGUCCAUGAUCAUGACUCGCCAUGGCGGCGGCGGCCUGCCUGUCGUUCCCUUUGCCAUUGUUGCCUAGGCCCAGAAAAUCUUGCUUGUAGCGACGGUGGCAGCGAGAGGCAAUGUGGCGCUCAAGGCCACACAACUGGCAGGCCUGUUGGGCACCACAAGAAGAACAACAUGCCACCGGCCGGUUACCACCCGUGAUGGUCGGAGCAUUGCCCCGCGAGGCCGGCUGUGAAGGAGGCGCCGGUCUGCCUCCUGAAGAUGAUGACCGCUGGGGCUUGCCACGAGUUGCGGCAUUGGCGGAGGCGAAAUUGGGGGAGGCCCGGCGCACCUUAAUGCACUGCUCACAGCCAAGCAAACGUGCAUAGAGCUCACGAGGUGGAAGCGGGUCAUCACGGCCAUGAACAUUCUCAAUGAGAUUGUCAUAAUCAUCAUCAAGCCCAUUAAGCACGAAGGUGGUGAACUCCUCAUCCUGCAGCGACUGACCAACUGAGGCCAACGUGUCGGCGAGACCCCACAUCUUGUUGAAGUAGUCAGUGAUGCUGAGGUCACCAAGCUUCGUCUCACCCAUCUCGGUGCGUAUAGAGUGAGCACGCGCCUGGGACUGAGAGGCAAAACUGGUGUGAAGCGCCGCCCACACCGCCCGCGACGUAGCGGCGAAGAUGACCAGUGAUGAGAUGCUCGGGGUGAGCGAGGACUGGAUGGCAGAGAGGAUGUCCUAAUCCUGAGCCACCCAAGUGUGGAACGCCGGGUGGUGAGGGGGCGGACACUCGAGGGAUCCGUCAACGUAGCCCUCCAAAUAGCGACUCCGCAGAAGAGGGAGCACCUGGGCACACCAGGACAGGUAGUUGUCCGGCGCAAGCUUCACCGGUAGCAGAUGCGAGAAGUAGAACGGCGCCGGCACCAUGGCCGAAUCAGCAUGGGCAUGCGGCGAUGCAUACAGGUCCAUCGACGAGGCCGCCCCAGGGUGUACGGGAUACACCGAGUAGGGCGGGUAGGAUUCGGGGGAGACCGCCCCGGGCGCGCCGUUGUGUGUCGCGGGGGUGCCGUAGGGUGCCGCGGGGGCACCGUGGUAGGGUGCCUCGGGGGCACCGUGGUUUGCCGCGGCCGAAACCACUGCAGCGAGGCAGCCGCAGCUCCAUGCGGGUGCGGGGAGGACGCCGGGUAGGGUUGAGGCGGCGCCGGCGCCGAGUACGAUUGGGGCGGCGAGGGCGCCAAGGAGGGUUGAGGCAGCGCGGGCGCCGAGUAGGUCAGCGGCGGCGGCGCGCCGUAGUAGUGAUGAGGUGGCGGCGCGCCAUAGGGUUGGGGCAGCGCCGUCCAAGAUGACGACGGCGGCGGCCCACCAUGGAUCGCGGGAACACCGCCCGCAGAAGGAGCAGCGCCAGAGGGAGCACCUGUCGGGGUGGCGCCGCGGUCUCCCGAUCCGAUCGGGGAGCGAGGCGACGACGAGGCACCGUAGGCCAUCACGAGGGGCUGCGUGGCAAGGAACGGUGAGGCAGUGGCGAGGGCCGGCACCGCGGCGGCGGCGGUAGGAACCGAGGUCGGCGCGACGGCGGCGGUGGCGGCGGCAGCGGAAGACAUCGUAACCUAAUUUGAUACCAUGUAAGACAUAUGAUUUGGGAACUGCUCGACAACCCUAACCUGGGAUGUGACUAUCUCAUUAUAUAGAGGUACCCAAGGGGUGCAAUACAAUAUUACAAUACAGAUAUGCAGAAGCUACGUAUAUUUAGUCUAACAUGCUGUACUCCUAGCUACGUGCUGAGACGUGAACUAAUUAAGCAGGCGCGUACGACAAUUGCAUCAAGUGAAUAAUCAACCAGCCAACACAACAAGGUCCAUUAUAACCUAGUUGUUCGAUGUCGAGCGUGUCAUUAGCUAGCAGUGGCGCGCACGUACGAAGUCUAAACAAACUGGCAAAUGAUCGAUUGAUUUAUCAAACAAGCAGUAUAUACGUACAACUAGCUACGUGUCAAGGGUAUUGAGGUUCAAACACCGGACAGCUUUGUCGAUCAGGGUCCUAGCGACUAAUUAUAUCAGGUCAAUAUCACCUAAAAUGCCAAGCAGAAAGGAUGGUUGCAUAUGGAAGAAGCCAAGUGACGGUGUGGUGAAAAUAAAUGUGGACGCAUCGUUUCAUGGAGAUACUUUGUCAGGGGAGCUAUAGCUCGUGAUGACAAAGGAGAUUUUAUUGCUGCUGCAAAUUGGUUUAUCCCACAUAUACAAUAUGUUGAUGCUGCUGAACUUACUGCUAUCAGGAACGGUCUUUUUUCUAGCGGCUAGCGUCGGGUGCAAUUAAGUCGAAGUUGAAUCAGAUUGCUCAUUUGCUGUGGACACCUUGAACUCCAUGGAUUAUUUGGGUCCUCAUGUGGCAAUAGUGGUUGAUUGCAAUCAGCUAGCGAUGGAGUUCGGACGCAUUUCUUUCAAGCAUUGCUACCGUGAGCCGUGAGGCAAAUCAAGUGGCGGAUGAGUUAGCAAAGAAUUUUUUUGUUAGUAGAUCCUCUAGUUCUUGGGAAUCUGUGAUUUCAGAUUUUAUUUCUCAUUCUCUUGUAAACGACAUGUCUAUUAUUUGAGAAGUAAAGUGUUUUACCCGUCAGAAAAAAAAGCUACAUUCGUAGUACACUAGUCAAUGACAUAUAUGCCGGAGAUGUUGCCGUGGAUGGGUCUUCUAGGAGGGGCACUGGAAGCCGGAGGGGACGUUCUUGCCGCAGUAGUUGAUGAGGAGGCUGAGGUCGACGGGCACGUUGAGGUGGAUGCCCAGGAUGUUGGCCUUGAGCGCCGUGCACAGGCACACGGCCGCAUCCAGGUCCGCCAGCCCCUGGAGCAGCGAGCAGCACGUCUGCUUCGGCGUCGUCACCGGCCGCAGGUUGAUCAGCCCGCCCAGCACGUUCGCGCACGCCCCAAGCUUCAGCGCGUCGAUCGGGCACUGCCCGCUGCCACCCUUGCCUCCACCGCCGCCGCCGCCCCCUCCUCCUCCCCCUGCCGGCGGCGGCGGGCUAGGCAGGUGGCACCCGCAGUCGUCGGCCAAGGCGAAGAAGAGCAGGUUCAGUGCCAGCAGCGUGACGAGCACCGCCGCUUUCGUCGCCAUAGCUUCCUAUCCGAGCUACUGCGAGUCUACUACGUACAGGGUUUAUUAGAGCUAGCUCACUCUGGCUGUGUGUGUCAAGUGCAAGGGACCUCCGGGUGCUACUUAUAGACCAAGAAGAAAGGAAGGUGUUGAACUAGCUCCUAGCUUAGAGCAUUUUCAACAGCCGCACAACGUGCGAGUCGCGCUAAAAAUGAGAAUACCGCGCCGCGCGAGCUGGGUUUUGCGCGCGGCGCUGCGCUGACUCCAGCGGCCGCCGCAAAAUAAAGCGCGGCCUAACCGCUCCAGCAGACGUGCUAUAUUUUUUUUUUCUUGAGACGAUUGCAUACAUAGCAUACAAAUAUGAAGAUAAUUCGGCACAUAGCCUGCUUCUACGAUACAAAAUGCGUACAUCUAGACUUCUCCAAUGAUAUAUAGUUCUACUACGUCCACAUAGCCUGCUUCUACGAUACAAAAUAAAACUAUUACUACUCGUUCUCCGACUCGGACUCUGCCUCGGUGAUGUCCUCCUCCGACGUCUGAGCAUAGGCGUCAAGGAACCGCUCGUCGCGGGAGUCCCAUGACGACGCAUCUCCUAGCGCCAUGUUGUAUUUAGCGACCGCCUUCCGCAUUCGCUUGUCCUCGCGAUAGGCGGCUCGCUCCUUUCUUCUCUCCUCCCUCUCCGCCCUCCUCUCGACGAAGAAGUGUUUUUCGUUGAUGAUGUCUUGCGGGAAGCAUUGCCUCCACAACGCCAUGACUUCCUCAUCCAUCCCGGUCAGGCUAAGAUGGCACUCCCGUCUCCGGUGUUUGCGACGAUCCUCGUCGGUGUUAAGCCGCCGGAAAGGCGCCAACUCCUGUGCCCGCUCCUCCGUCGCCACGUCGGUGAAGUUCAUGUCCCAACGGGACCGCCGGAGGCGCCACGCCGCAGCGUCGUACGCGCGGGCGCCAUCCUGGGUGGUGGCGAAGGUUCCGAGGCCAAGGCGCACGCCGCCGCCCGACUGAAUCAAGGCGGAAUAGGUGCCGGACGGACGCACGCGGAUGCCGCGAUAGCCGGAACCUUCCCGGCGGCGAGGCGGCAUGGUGGCGCGGUGGUGGCGUGUCGGCGGCGAGGAGAGAAAGCAGUAGAGAGGGCGAGAGAGAGCGGCAGAGGGCGCUGCAAUUUUAUAGGGGCGCGUGAAGCGGCGUGCCAAAUCUAGCGCGCGAGCUGCCGCCUUUUCCCCCGCGCGCUAGUUUGCCGUCACCCCUGGAGCGUGCAAAACCGGGCCGCGCGUGCUAAAAAGCCAAUUUAUCGCGCGCGCGUCUUUUGACGCGCUUGUUGAAGAUGCUCUUAAUUAGGACACAGAUAUUUUACUCACUCCACGCGUGUAAUCGACCAGUCUCUCCAUGAGAAGAUCACCACGAGAUAGCUGAUCGCAACAGGUGCACGGCGCAUGUGAGCUGGCUUUGGCUUUGGGGAUGGGUGGAAGGAGACAAGGAGAUGUUUGGAGUGUUGCCGAUAAAUAAAAGAUGUAAAGCAAAAUUGUGUAAGUGAAACAAUGUCUAGACCGUUGUUCUCAAAUCAGACGGCUCUCGGAGCGCAAAAUCAACCAUAAUGUAGCUUGCCGACUUAGCCGCUCAAAUCUGCGAAUCCCAAGCGACAUGGACAUAUGUGCAGCCGCUUUUGUCCAUUUCUCGUUGAGAGGACAAUACUAUUUCUUGGAGCAUUUUGUUUCAAGGUUUUGUCACACUAAUGACCGAAUUUAUCAUCUGAAGAAAAAUGUAUCAGUUUAAAGGUGGACUUACCACAGUGUAUUUUGCCCAAAUACUUCCUCCCAAACUAAUUGACUGGUUGACCCACCUGCCAGAAUCAUGUGGUGCCGGUGACAAGAAUUACACGUGCGCCGUCUAUUGAAUAUUAUCGCAUUAUCAUCAUGUGGAGUAAACCAUUUUAAGUGCAUUUUCUAUUUAACAGGCACCAGGAAAAUAUUCUCGGUUGGGGCAUCUCCGAUGCCGACCCACAGACCGACCCCAUACUUUCGGACUGCGCUAUCCGACCAUGAAAGCAUCCAACACCGCCCUGUAUCGGCCUGCAGGGCGGUUUAGACGUGAUUUUUUUUUUUUGCAAACCAGAGACAGACAUGAGGAGUUUGCGGGCGUCCGGACCACUGUUAGGCCCGCGUCUGACCGCUCUGGCCCAUCCAAACCCCCUCCCUCGCCGCGCGCUUCCUGCCCGAAACGAUUAGGUGCUUCAGAGCGUCAAUGCAGCAUUCAUGUCUGGCCAGAGCGGACACGACCUAUCACUGGCACCGAUAUUGAAGCGGCACGCAGGCCGAGUGACCGCCGCCCGGCCAUUUCUCGGUGCAGGCAACUACUCCGUGUUCAAACAAGAUGGCGGACGUCCGUCCGUCUACUUGGCGCCCACAUUAAUGACACACGGUUGUCGAGGCAGCUACUUCGGUGCCACCCGUCCGUCCCUCUGCCGCCCACCAUCACAAUAUAAACUACAGCCCUGACCAUUGCCGCGGUCAUCCGCCUCCCAUCCCUUUAUCCUCUCUGCACCAUUCCCGCCAUGGCUUUCUUCCACGCUAAGACUCUUAGGGACGGGCUGAUGCUGGAGCAGAAGAAGAAGAUGGCCACCAUUGCUUUGGCUGGCUGGCCGGCAGGCAAUCGAAGGACGACGACGUCUCAAUGGAGGACGCGGUCGACGACGAGCCGACACCACCCUCCUCGUCCGCGCCACCUACGUCCCAAUGGAGUAUUAAAGUUCGUCGGAACUACAAGGUGCUUCCUUUUUUUGCAUAGUAAUUAAUGUGUGUCACAUUCAUAUCAUAAAGAUCAAAGUACAUGUCACGUAAGGGCUGACAUGGCAAAACUGAAAAGAGAGCAGAACCUCUCUGAGUUUGACACCAAAACUCGCACCUGCCUCUGGCACCAUCAUAGCAGCCACCAAAGAAAAGAAUGAUGGAUCAACUCUUACCCGAGCUCGACGCGGCUCCAUCGCUUAUAUGCAGCUUUGCGGACCUUCAAAGGUGGCUCACCAAAAGUAAAGCCACAGUCGUCGAACAAAUUAGACCGGGACACAUCAUCGAACUCUAGAUCUGUCACUCCACCACGACUAAGACGCCAAAGGAGGAAACCGCACCCUGCCAUCUAUCAACCACGAACACAGCACAUGUUCCGUCUUAUAGAUGUCUUCGAUGCAGACCACAAUCUGCAUCCGCUCCUGGACUACCUUUCACGCUCCGCACCGACAUUGGAGCAGACGUGGUCACAAUGACGGAGUACGAUGACACAUAUUCACCACGAGGAGGCCGUCGGCGUCACACCAUCGUUGAUUGAACAGACUGGUUUCCAAAACUAUCCUCAACCAUAGGGCCGAUCGACUUGUUGGUGAAGAAUAUGAAGAACCUUUAUUCAGCGCCGUCAUCGUCACUGCCGAAGCCAUGACGAUGAACAACCUAAAAACGAAACUACUUUAACUUAUAAUUAUCCACACACGUGGAUUCGGCGAUCCCCUCACCACCGACGACCGAGGUCGUCGGCCAAGGGGAGCCGUUGGAGGACUGCGGCGGAGGAACUCUCCUUGGGAGAGACGCUGGCGAGAUCACAAGGUGCUUUCUUUCAACCACGGUGGAUUGUGUAUUAGCAUUGUGUACUGUCCGUGAACUCUUAAUUUAUACCAGUAUACGUCAUGGUUCCUUACAUGCUUGACUCGAUUGAAAAAAAUUGGCAGGCCUUACCAAAAGGACUAUUCUAUUCACGCACCAAAUGUAUGUGUCCUUGUUAGACUUAGAGAUAUUUGUGUUAUGUAAUCUUAACUAAUUCCUCUAUCCUUUUCUCUCCCGUUUAACUUCCUAUCCUCAUCCUGCUGAAUCCUAGCGAUCGGUGGGCUUCUUGUAAACCACGGCAGGGGUUGUUCCUGCCCCCAAUCAAUAUAAGCCCGCGGCUCCUCUACGGAGGAGUAGGAACGCUUCAUCGAUCCAAUCUAACAUGAUAUACAGAGCCAAGUCUCUUCCUAUCGUCUAGCAAAACCAAAACCCUAAACACCACCCUUCCAUCGCCAUGGCUAUGAGCUCAAGCGCCAUCGCUCUCAACCUAGGUGCUCCACCAACAGAGAAGCUCGCAAGGGGAAACUACCUCCUAUGGAAGGCGCAGGUCAUGCCGGCACUGCAGGCGCGCAAGUGACCGGUCUUCUCGACGGCAGCGAUGCCUCACCGCCGAAGACAGUAGAAGUUACCAAGGCGGACAAAACCACGGCCAUCGAGCCCAAUCCUCUGUAUGGCCCGUGGUUGUCGAAGGAUCAACAGGUUCUAAGCUACCUGCUGAACUCUCUCACCCAGGAAAUCCUUGCACAAGUCAUCGGUAAGGACAGCACCUUUGAUCUGUGGACUACUCUUACCACGUUGUUCGCUGCGCAGUCGAAAUCCCGCAUAACCAAUCUGCGGAUGGCCAUCUCCAACACCAAGAAGGGCAACAUGUCGAGCAACGCCUUCAUCGCCAAGAUGAAGAACCUCGGGGAUGAGCUAGCACUAGUGCAGAACCGAGUUGUAUUACUGGUUCGUAAGGCCCUUUAGUGUCGGUUCUGUAACCGGCACUAAAAGGUGGAGACUAAAGCCCCCCCCCCCUAGUACUGGUUCAGUACAAAUCGCCACUAAAAGGCCACCACGUGGCACGAACCAGCUCCGAGGGCGGGAAGACUAAAGGUUUUUUAAUAAAGCAAAACAACCCACCUACUGGGCCGGCACGACCUGCAUACGACUACAAACCCAACCUCUAGUUGGGCCAGGAUGCAGGCCUGUACGGCCCAAUAGGCCCCACAGGGCAAAAGACUUGCAAUAGGCCCACAAAGGCCUGCUUAGAGAGGAGCUCGACACGGUAGCCGCGGCGGGGCUUAUAAACCGGUGCGAGCUCCGCUCAACUAGCGAGGUGGGACUAAACAUUGCGCACUGUGGGUGGUAGCGCACCCCUUUAGUACUGGUUGGUGGCACAAACCCGUACUAAAGGGGGGGUCUUUAAUACCGGUUGGAGCCACCAACCCAUACUAAAGGUCACCACCUCUUUAGUACCGGUUCGUGACACAAACCGGUACUAAAGGUUCGCCACGAACCGGUACUAAUGAGUGCCGCCCGCCUAGCCGUUGGAACCGGCACUAAUGGUCACAUUAGUGCCAGUUCAAUUACAAACCGGGACUAAUGAGCUUCACAUUAGGCCCUUUUUCUACUAGUGCAGCUACGGCUGGACGUCCAGUAACCGAUCCAGAGAUGGUAGAUUACAUCCUGGCUGGCCUUGAUCGGGACUAUGAUCCCAUCGUGGCAGCGAUCGGCGUCAUCAAGAACUCCAUCAGCGUCGACGACUUCUUCGUGCAGAUCUCAGUGUUCGAUCAGCGGAUGGAGAUGCUGGGAGACGGACCAGCAGGCUUCCGCUCCUCUGCCAACGCCGUCUACAGGGGGCACAGGCAGUACCGUGGCAGGGGAGGCCGUGGCCGAAGCAGCAGAGGAGGACGCGCCCAAGGGAACCGCUCUUCUCCCUCCCCUAGCCGCGGUGGUGGUGGCGGCCAUCAGCAGCAACGAUUCCGUUCCCAACUGCAACAACAACAACAAGAAGAAGGAGACUACCCAGAGUGCCAGAUCUGUAGGGAUCUACGGUAGGGUGCGUCGACUGCAAAUUAAAAUUUUCCUACGCGCAGAACAACAUGAACAUGCUAUGGGAGAUGGAUCAUAGUUCGUUACCACUAGACGCGCAGUGCCGUGUAGCGGAAGAAGAGUUGGGGCAGCGCUUCUGCAUGGAUCGUCUCCUCCUCGUCCGAUCUCCCUCGAACAGCCGGUCAUCUGAUCCCACGUACAAGUUCGCCAGAGCGGCGCAAGUGCACCGCCUCUAACGGUAUCCGCGCAUGCAGGAGGAACACCGUGCGGUAGACUACUAGGUCCGAUCACACAGUCGGCGGCGAGUGGAGGUGGCUAUUCACAACACAUGCGAACCCUAGUCGCAGCGCCGAAGCGAUCAACCGCAUGAGUGUUCCGCACCUCCACUUUAUAUAUAUAGGCGUCCGUCGCGGGCUCAACACUUGGGCCUCGUACGGAUCCUAAAGCCCACAAGUCUACUCGGCCACAAUCCGAAUACAGCUCGGAUCACAUCUGACCAGUGUCCUCGGAUCCGACCUUGUAGGUUCCUUCCCUUAAGCGCGCGACCCCUUAGGUUCAAGUCGACUUGGUCGCAGUUCGGAUCACCUCCGAACUGCACGGUUGGUAGCGGCCUCUAGCAAGGCAUGCCGAACACCAAGCAGACCAUGAAGCUGGUUAGGCGAACCUGUACAACGUGUCACACUUCUGUUCCCUUUUGCCACACGAUAUAUGUUGUCGGGCUCAAGGCGAGACUGUCAUCCUUGUGCUAGCCCGACCUCUUUCUCGUUCCAGUGAUACCGACCACAAUCCGGAUUAUCUCAUAAUCCUUGUCGCAUGGCCAUGCUUAUCCUGAUCGGAUCACACGAGGGGCCCAGAGUAUAUCUCUCCUGAUCGGAGGGGCAAAUCCCAUCUUGCUCGACCAUGUCUCGCAGCAUGGGACUGGACAAACCCGAAACCUACCUUUGUAACUACCCAGUCACGGAGUGGCGUUUGGUCGGCCCAAAGCAAGUCUGUCACCAUCCUGAGUACAUGCAUCAGCUCGGGUCUUAUGACACAGAAUGUAUGUUGUACUAGAGACUCACAGAUGACAUAUCACUGCGUCUCAUAGUUGGGUCUGUCCGACUCGGACCUUAUCUCGACUCGGAUCCGACUACGUCGUAUCCGACCAGACCAGACCUUUCCAAGUCCAUAUUAUCCUGUUAGCAUCCAAUGCUCCAUGGCUAGUGAGACCGAGCCAUCGACCGUGCCAUAUGCUAGUCUAGUCGGAUGCACGUCCACACAACCCUUUCGACUAGGGACCUUUUAGGACAGUCAUCAUACAAUGCAUAGUCCCACAAACAAGUCACGUACUUGCUGAUACACAUCAUUGAUAAUGUCCAAGGACUAUCUUUAUUCAUAAACACAUAGGAAAUAUCAUCAUACAUGAUUGCCUCUAGGUCAUAUCUCCAACAAGAUCUGCUACAAGUUUCAUGCUGGUGGCGCAAGAGCCUGCUGGCAUCGAUAUGAUGAUGAUCAUGAGGAGAAGAAAGCAGCCAACCUCGUCACCAACAACUACGGUAUCGACACCAACUAGUACGCAGACUCCGGCGCUACUGAGCACAUCACCGGGGAGCUUGACAAGCUAACUAUGCGGGAAAGGUAUCAUGGCGGUGAUCAUAUGCACACGGCAAGUGGAACUGGUAUGGACAUUAAUCAUGUUGGAAAAACAAUUGUUAAAACCCCCGUAAAAGAUUUACACCUUAAUAAUGUCUUACACAUUCCACGUGCUUCUAAGAAUCUCGUUUCUAUUCAUCGCUUUGCCCUUGACAACAACGUUCUCAUAAUAUUUUAUUCCUACUCUUUUGUGAUCUACUCUUUUGUGAUCAAGGAUUUGGCAACGAGGAGAGUCAUCCUUAGAGGAAAGUGUGAGGGAGGCCUAUAUCCACUCAUAUCAUCUUCAUCUUCAUCACGGUCGAAUAAGCAAGCGUGGAGUGUCACCAAACCUUCCUCGGCAAGGUGGCAUAGUUGUAUCGGUCAUCCCUCUUCAGUUAUAGUUCAACAUGUCCUUAGCAAGAAUAAUCUUCCAUAUGAGUCUAGUGUUGAGUCAAUUUGUGAUGCUUGCCAGCAAGCCAAAAGUCAUCAGCUACCUUACCCUAUAUCUACGAGUGUAUCCACUGCUCCUUUGCAGUUAGUUUUUUCCGAUGUAUGGGGACCAGCUCCCACAUCAGUUGGCAGAUUUUCUUAUUAUGUUAGUUUCAUUGAUGAUUAUAGCAAGUUCACUUGGAAUUAUUUGCUAAAGAAACGAUCUAAUGUUUUCCAAGUGUUCCUUAACUUCCAAAACCUCGUAGAACGCCAACUAGACUCAAAGAUUCUUGCUAUGCAAACCGACUGGGGUGGUGAGUAUGAAAAAUUAAAUUCCUUUUUCCAAAAAAUUGGAAUUUCUCACCAUGUCUCUUGCCCCCAUGCUCACCAGCAGAACGGGUCAGCUGAACGCAAACAUCGUCAUGUUGUUGAGGUAGGACUAGCCUUCCUAGCCAAUGCUUCCAUGCCCCUAAAAUUCUGGGAUGAAGCUUUUCUCACUGCCACAUAUCUUAUAAAUAUUCGACCAAGUAAAGUCAUCAAAUUCGAGAGUCCCAUCACAGCCUUUUUGGCAUCAAACCAGACUUCAAAUCCCUUCGAGUCUUUGGUUGUGCAUGUUGGCCAAAACUAAGGCCAUACAACACACGCAAACUUGUGUUUCAUUCAAAAAAAUGUGUGUGUUUGGGCUAUAGCCCUAUGCACAAAGGAGUUAAGUGUCUCGAUGUUCCACCGGCAGAGUUUAUAUUUCUCGAGAUGUUGUGUUUGAUGAAUCAGUUUUCCCGUUUGAAUCCCUUCAUCCUAAUGCCGAUGCUCUCCUUCGUCAAGAGAUUCUUCUUCUUCCAUCUACACUUCGAGAUUUUGAUCACGGGGGAAACAAUUGCACUAACCAACAUGAUGAUAGUAUUCCUACUGGAAUCAGUCCUUGUCUUCCGUGUGUGCAGGUCUCUGAAGAAAACAGAGUUCAAAACGAUCAAAAUGAUCAAAAUCACGUUCAAAACGAAGCUAUAUUGCAUGUGGAACAAGAAGACGAAGCUGGCGCGACGUACGAAGACGAUCUGGCGGCGCCUGCCACUCCUGCGUGCCAAUCCUCCUCGGAUCGGGCGCGGAUAUCCGCCCUGGAUCGCGAGCCAGUCGGCCUGCACGACCAGGGCCGGGCGACGCAAUCAGCGAUCGCCACGUCUUCACGUGUGGAAUCCUCCUUGAGCGCCGGCCCGCGCAUGUAGCCAGCUGCGAGGCGCGGCUCGCACAUGCGGCCAAUAGGCCCACCUGGCGCGGGAUCGGCUAUGGCAACGGGCGGUGCGGUCAUGAGUGUGCAGGCCACACCCGCGGCCACUGGAUCUGGUGUGGCAUCUCCUGGUUCCUCUCCGAGAUCUUCUGGAAGCAGUGAUGUCGUGCGUCCGUGUGUACAACAACCUCCACCAGCCACGUCAGGAGUUACAACUCGGCUACAAAAAGGUAUUAAGAAUCAAAAUAAGAACUGAUGGCACUAUACCGUAUGGUAUGUUGUGCAUUUCAUGUGAGCCAACAAAAUUGAAUGAUGCACUUGGAGAUCAAAAGUGGAAAAAGGCUAUGGUUGAGGAAUAUACAGCUUCAAUGAGAAACAAAACAUGGCACUUGGUGCCAAAUCAGAAAGGUAAAAAUAUCGUUGACUGUAAGUGGGUGUAUAGGAUCAAGAAAAAGGCAGAUGGCUCCAUUGACAGGUAUAAAGCAUGCCUUGUUGCUAAAGGUUUUAAGCAGCAUUAUGGUAUUGAUUAUGAGGAUACAUUUAGUUCUGUGGUAAAAGCUGCAACCAUAAGACUUGUGCUAGCUAUUUUUGUGUCGAGGGGAGGCAGCUAGACGUAAUGCGUUUUUGCAUGGUGUUCUGAAAGAGGAGGUCUACAUGAGGCAACCACCAGGCUAUGAAAACAAAAAAAACUUCAUCAUGUAUGCAAACUUGACUAGGCCCUUUAUGGUUUGAAACAAGCACCUAGAGCAUGGUAGUCUAGGUUAAGUAUGCAGUUGAAACAUCUUGGAUUUAUCGCAUCAAAGGCUGACACAUCUCUCUUCAUAUACAAUAAAGCAAAUACUGUUAUUUUUGUGCUCAUAUAUGUUGAAGAUAUUAUAGUUGCAAGCUCAUCUCAGAAUGCUACUGACGCUCUCCUGCAUGAUCUGAGCUCAAAAUUUGUUUUAAAGGAUCUUGGUGAUUUGAGUUUCUUUUUAGGCAUUGAGGUUAAGAAGGUUCGGGAUGGUAUAGUGUUGAAACAGGAAUAAUAUGCCAUUGAACUCUUGGCUCGGAUGGGAAUGAAGGAUUGCAAGUCUUCACCUACACAAUUAUCUUCAUCAGAAUAGCGGUCAGCAUAUGAAGGGGAGCCACUUAAAGAGGAAUAAAGCACUAAAUACAGAAGUGUUGUUGGAGCAUUGCAAUAUUUAACCUUGACAGGACCAGAUAUUUCAUUUGUUGUUAAUAAAGUAUGUCAAUACUUGCAUGCUCCUACUUCUACUCAUUGGACAGUUGUCAAAAGAAUCAUACGGUAUGUUAAGCACAUUGUGGGUUUGGGACUACAUUUCAGACGUUUCAAUUCUACACUUGUUAGUGCUUUUUCUGAUGCAGACUGGACAGGCUGCAGUGAUGAUAGAAAAUCAACAGGUGGGUUUGCUGUUUUCUUUGGUUCUAAUCUUAUUUCGUGGAGUGCCAGGAAACAAGCAACAGUGUCAAGAUCAAGUACUGAAGCUGAGUACAAGUCACUGGCAAAUGCUACUGCUGAAAUUAUUUGGCUUGAAUCUUUGCUUGAGGAAUUGGGUGUGAAGCAACAUCGUAUUUCAUGCCUAUGGUGUGAUAAUUUGGGUGCUACUUAUUUAAGUGCCAAUCAUGUUUUUCAUGCCAGGACCAAGCAUAUUGAGAUAGAUUUUCACUUUGUACGAGAAAGAGUUGCAGAGAAGAAGUUGGAGAUACGGUUUAUUCCUUCCAGAGAUCAAGUGGCUGAUGGGUUCACUAAAGCUCUACUAUACAAGCCAUUUGAAGCAUUCAAGAACAAUCUCAAUCUAGAAUAGGUAGUUCAGAUUAAGGGAGGAUGUUAGACUUAGAGAUAUUUGCGUUAUGUAAUCUUAACUACUUCUUCUAUCCUUUCCUCUCCCGUUUAACUUCCUAUCCUCAUCCUGCUGAAUCCUAGCGAUCAGUGGGCUUCUUGUAAAUCACAGCAGGGGUUGUUCCUGCCCCCAAUCAAUAAAUACCCGCGGCUCCUCUACGGAAGAGUAGGAAGGCUUCGUCGAUCCAAUCUAACAGUCCUAGCAUUAGCGAAUUUAGCAUGGUGGAUUGACAACAUAGCAAGGUCGAUUGACAACAUCAUCAUGACACGAUGCGUGCGAAGACAAUGUCUAGCAAGGAGACACAUUGCUGUUUGCCGUAGGUACGUGAACGUACGUGGUGUAGAUGGAGGCAGCGUCGACACGCAGAUCUUUUCCCCGUCAUCUUUGACCGUGACACGUGCAUGCCUUGUAGGGUGCGGUCCAUAUGCUUGCAGGCAUAGGAACAAAGUGUUUGUUACCUAGCCCCGUCUCUGGCUUGGCACAUGCACCUGCUGGAUAAUCACCCUCAGCCAGGUGCUUAUGUUUACCUAGCUGUCUAGCAUUUCUUUUUUGAAAUGAAGAGAGGCUAGGAGCCUGUGGUUACGUGUCCUUUUUCGUGAGUCACGUCGACCGGAAGCUUGGUAAUGUGUAGCUAGCCUGCUUCUGCCUGUAGCACAUUUCAGAUCAUUGUGCUCUGUGCAGUGUACAGAAUGAAGCACGACACAUGUGUGCAUGCAAGUGGGUGAUGGAUACAUUUCGAUCCGUGCAUCCCGGUCCUAAUGAGACGCGACACAGAUCUCAUAGCGCGCGGAGCUUGCAUGGAAAGAAUAAUUAACCAGCUGCUGCCAACACGAUAACUCCGAUCCUAAAAAAAACGAUAACUCAGGGAGCACUUUUUUUUUUUUUGAACUCAGGGAGCACAUGAAUGAAUUCACAGACGCUAACAAACUGCAUGGACCAGUACCACCCUAGGAAAUCAAAAGCGCACACAAUUUUUUUUGCGGGGACACACAAUUUUAAUCGAAUCAGUUAACAAAAACGCGGAAGAUCACACAUAGUACUGAAAGUUGACAUGUGAUAUUAAUUACUUUAUUACAAUUGUAGGAGGAGCAACCUCCUUUUGAAGCAAAUAUAAUAGUAGCAGGCAGCGGUACAAGCAUGAGAUCAUAUGUGGCUGAGAACUCGAUCCAUGGUCCAUACAGUACCGUGGCCUAGUUCGAUGACAAGCAGUAGUUCAAAGGAUACUACCCCACACACACACACACACAGAGACACGAGCACACAUGUAAAGUUUAGCAUGCAACUAGCAAGAGCGAUGAUAAAUUAUGAAGCAAAUAACGUAUACGACUAGCUAUAGAGUACUAGUCAAUGGAUGGAUCGUAGAUCAUGCAUGCGAGCUGGUGUACGCAUGCAUGCACGUACGUACGUAUAGUGGAUGCCUGCUGUGGACGAUGGAUCUCUCGGGUCUUCUCUUCUAGCGGGGGCACUGGAAGCCGGAGGGGACGUUCUUGCCGCAGUAGUUGACGAGGAGGCUGAGGUCGAUGGGCACGUUGAGGUUGAUGCCCAGGAUGUUGGCCUUGAGCGCCGUGCAGAGGCACACCGCCGCCUCCAGGUCGGCGAGGCCCUGGAUCAGCGAGCAGCACGGCUGCUUCGGCGGCGUCCCCAGCUGCAGGUUGAUCAGCCCGUUGAGCACGUUGGCGCACACGCCCAGCUUCAGCGCGUCGAUGGGGCACCGCGCGCGCCCGCCUGAUCCGCCUCCUCCCGAUCCGCCACCGCCGGACCCGCCGCCGCUGCUGCCACCUCCUCCUGAUCCGCCUCCGCCGCUGCCGCCUCCUCCAGAUCCGCCUCCGCUGCUGCCGCCUCCUCCAGAACCGCCUCCACCGCUCCCUCCACUGCCACCGCUCCCACCACCACCGCCACCGCUCCCACCUCCACCGCCACCCCCACCGCCGCCCCCUCCGCCGGGGCUAGGGCAGGAUCCGCAGUGGCAGCCGCAGGCGUCGGCGAAGGUGAAGAGGAGCAGGUUCAGGGCCAGCAGCGUGGCGAUAACCGCGGCCUUCUUCGCCAUGGCUACCAAGCUACCAAGCUAGCUACCUCUCCUGCUGCUGUGCGUGUACAGGGUUUAGACUGCCUCAGCCGUGUGUUUGUGUGUGUGUGCAGUACAAGGGAGCCCGGGGCGCUAUUUAUAGCUCAAGAAGGACGGAGGGGGUUCAACUAGGUCCUAGCUCAGCCCACAGAUAUUAUUUUACUCACGCCAUGUGAAGACCGAUCAGACGAUCACCAAGAGCUAGCUGCCCACCACGGGUCCAAGCUAGAACUAGAAGACGACGCAUGCAUGUGAGCUGGCUCUGGGGAAUGGGGAUGGGAUCACAAGGAGAUGGUAACAGACAAGGGAGCUGUUUGUGCUUGGAAGGUUGCCGACUCAAGGGCCAUCACGGCCUAGUGCUGCAGGAAAGAUGGCGUACGGCUCUAUGCCUCUGGCUAGCUAGCAUCCUUUACCGCUGCAGCUUAAGCUUUCCGGUGAAUGAAUUUCCAGCUGCUGAUCGUGCCUGCGCGUGGAGGGUGUCAUGUCGUGUCAUUCCGAUCGGGUGCAUGGUCGAAAUCGAAUGGCUCAAUCAGUCAGCUGGCCACAGUGCGUCCCGUGAUCACCCACUAGCCAGGGUUCAUGGUCUUGCACUACGCGGCACGUACGUACGUUGGUCGUAGGUACACCCAAGAACUCAUGUGCCGACGAGCAGGAGUGGCCGGCCGGUAUGGGCGCGCGCGCGCAGAACUAGGUAACACAUUACAUGAUAAGAGUCAUCGAAACCAUGGCAUUAUUUGCGUAUGCAUGCAUGUUCGUGUUCAUGUUCAUGGGGAAGACGCGCGCACGCAUUUGCUAGUCACCGGCCAGCCGAACAAUCAUAUGGUUGGCUGGUUGGUUUAGGACACCAUCGUAUGCUUAUCAAAUAUUACUCGCAUAACCAUAGCCUAGAUAGAUUCGUGUAUAAAUUAACCAUAUUUUCUGUGAAGGAAAAAUUCAUGGAACCACCAUGAUUUUCGGGACAAGUUAGGGCAUCUCUACCCGACCCCCUAAACAAUAGAGGAGUAAAUGACCGAGUAAAUCCUAGUGAGGUAUUUUUACUACACUAGGCCUUCUUUGGUUCAUAGGAUAGAAAUUUUAUAGGAAUAGAAAAAUCAUAGGAAGUGAGAUGACAUGCAUCUCAAUUCCUAUAGAGGAAGAGAUGUUAUUUGGUGCAUAGGAUAGGAAUUUUUCCAUUGAGUCUAGGCUCAUGUUUUUUUUCCUGCAAAAUGUGAAGGAUUGAAUCCUAUCCUACAUAGGAAUAGGAAUCAAUUCCUACAAACCAAAGGGCUUCAAAAGAAUUUUUCCUUUGCAAAUCCUAUCGUAUAGAAUUCCUAUAAAAUUCCUACAAACCAAAGGAGGCCUAAGUUUUGCUCGUUUCUAGCCGAUUUCCUAAAUUUAGUCGAGUAAAAAACAAACUCAAAGCAAACGAAUAAAAACUCAAUUCAAAAGCAAGUACUUAUUAAGCAUACUAACCGAAAUUCGGUGCCGGUUCAUUAUAUUUUACAAUGUCAUAAACCGAAACUUAGUUAAACUUACUAAUUAACCGAAACCAAGUCUAAAACUUACUAAUUUUAUUCUCUAUCUGUAUCUUCGACGACUUCUUUCCACUCGGCUUUGGACAACCCACCGGUCAUGGGGUCGGGGUCUAUGCCAUAUGAGGAGUCGAAGAUACCGCCCCGGUCGAAGAUGCUACUGACUCCUUUCUGCCAUCAUCGUUGUCGCCUCCGUUGCCUCUGUUGACACCGCGCGUUGUUGCUGUCGUCGCCUUUGUUGCCGCCGAUGUCUUCGUCAUCACUGGAUAGGACAAUGACCAUCGCCCCUGCCACUAGCUGCUCGUACAUGCGGCGCUCUGCUUCCACUUGAUCCGGUUAGAGGCGGCAGAGCUCCGCCAUGUACGCCCCGUCAGAGGCCUCCGCCGGCAAGUGCUCCAUCGCCUCCCGGUUCUCCCUCCUCUCCCACGUGGAGACCACCCGCGGGUCGACGGCAUCUCGUUGAACUCAAAGUUUUGGUGGCCGUCCGUGUCGUGCAGCCGCACGGACCAAAUGUUGUUUUCGCGGGUGGCCUGCUCGGCGGAGCUGAAGCUCCCGAGCCACCGCUUCUUGUGGGUGUGCCAGUCCCUAAUCUCGCCACUCAUGUCCCCUAUGCCUGCUCCCGCACACCGAUGUAUGGCCUUUGUGGCGGCAACAUUGGAGGGAGCACGGGGAAGCCGAGUAGGCGGCUGCGGGAGGCAGAUGGGGCGGUGCGGAUCGGUGCUGUGGACGGGCGGCAGGGAGCGGCAGCCGUGGGACCGGCCAUGGCGGCGCGGGUGGGGAUGCGGGAGCGGUGCGGGGUGGUAGGCGAGGUGUGGGUGGUGGAGGAUUGGAUGGGGGAAGAGGUGGAGAGACAUGCACGUGUUUUACUCGGCAACCGAGCGGUGGAGUAAUUUUAGGUGCUGAGGGGACAUGAGGUAAAUUUUUUUACUUCACUAAUCAAUUUAGGCAAUUGGUUAGAUACCAAUUAGAGAAGAAAAACCAGAAUUUUAGAUCGGCUAUUGUCAUGGCAUCACCCAAACAAUCGAUGUCUUAAGAGCUAACAUAUGACAGGAAACAAUGUCUAACCUUGCUAGAACCAGACAUAACGAUCUAUAGCAUGCUACCCACCUUCUUCCUCCUACUAGGAUUGACCGCCGAACAGGGCGAACACUGACAGGGUGUUUACGAUAACAUUUUCUACAGGAAGUUUACCACGGUACACGCAUGUUCAUGCAUGGGAGACGCCCGUGUGUACCGCGUACGUGUGUGUGUCACCUCCUGCAUAUGCAUGCAUGGGCCUGAUCUGCCCAUGGUUUUGGGUACUAGCAUAGUCCAGCCAGCUGUGAGUUUUUGGCCAUGUUCAAGAAAUCGAAAGCUGUGAGUUUUGGCGACAUAUGUGCGCGCACGUUGCUCUAGGUUAUCCCCAUAACCGUACGAACUCUUCUACCUGGUGCAUGCGUCCAACUUGACAUACAUGCAACCAUACGUACGUGUUGCGCACCUACGCGGUUCCCGGCCGGUCAGUCGGGCCUGUCCUCCUAGUCCUAGGCUAGCUACUGCGCAACGUGUCUCAUCUAUCUUUUAGGUUCGUGUCCUCUUUUGAGUGCCGGUAUAAAACUAAUUAAUUAGUUCCGCUUAGAGCACUCGUAAAGUAGGCUGGUUGUAAUGGUAGUAUCAUAGCUAGUAUUAUGCAUGUCAACUACUUCCUUCGUCUAAGUGUGUAAUUCAUCUUACGAAACCAAAUAAUCUCAAAACACUUAAGCGCGGUGCAUUAACUUCUACCUCGUUUUUUGUUUCUUGACAUAUCAACCAAGAAAGAUGAGGGAUACGUAUACAUGGUUUUAAUGAUUUGAGACUACCAAACAUGACAUGCAGUGGUUAGUUCAUUGCAUGCAAUGCUAUUAAUUAGUAAAUAAACAUUAAAGUCUCUCGUUUUCCCCUCCUCCUUGGUCACGGUGCACAACCUAACGCUUGUCAUAGUGGAGAGUAACUUAGACUAGUAACAUGCAUAUGUUACUAAUCUAUAUUACUACCUCUAUAAUGCAUAAUAUCAUAUAUAGGUGGUCUCAUUUAUUGCCAUGCAUGACACAUAGUAGCAUCACAUUUAUUAUGUUACUGUAUCUACCUAUGUUACUAUAACCAUCUUUUUUUUAAUUGCCUGUCACGUAAGUAUGUUUGCGAGUCCCAAGUGCAUGAUACUACUUAUGUUACCCCCACUAUGGCCAGUCUAAGAUGACUUACUCAUCUAGACGGAGGGAGUAGGCAAUUUUGAUGAGGUGUCAUAUAAUUAAAUGAAGAAAGAAAGAGUUGAGUAUCUUAUCAUGAUACCAUAUCAUAAUAAAUGUUAUAAUACUAUAUGUGAUACAUGUCAAUAAAUAAAGUACUACAUGAUACUAAUAUAUGAUACUAAGCAUUAGGGAGGUAGUAUCAUACACUAGUAUCAUAUACAUGAUAUUAGUAUAUGAUACUCCCCAUUACAAUCAGCCUAAGUAAGAAGAGGCGUAUCCUCCUCCCGGUCUGGUUGGCACAACUUUGAAGCGACCCGGACAUGUCCGGAGCCUCCCAUUCAGGCCGCAAAGGCUCACGGACAAAGCCCCAAAGAAACUGUGUCGUCGGGCAUGAGAAUAAGAUGUGUGCCCCCAUCCCCGGGACCACACAGAGGGGCACAUCCUAUCCCAAGGUCGUGUUGCUUGAACAUAUAUCUCGGCUGGAUGAGUGCAUGUUGGCGGUGUUUUUUUCCCAACAUGGCGGCAUAGAUGGCUAACCAAGGAUGAUGCGGAUCUUUUUCUGAAGAUGGGUCAGCGAUACGAUGGCGACAGCGGCUUUUAAAGCGUGUGCAGGCGGUGUGCGCUUUGGCACUGCUGCAUCGAGUGUUUGCUCCUGGUACGCUAUGCAGGCAGAUCGGCGGAGACACCGACUCUAGAUGGUGAGGCAUUAGCACAUUUCCCAUUAUCAAGUUUGUAGAUGUGGUUAAUGGCUUCAGCUUGUUUGAUGUAUGCUCUUGUCAGACCUUUGUUGAAUACUUCCUCCGUCUGGAAAUACUUAUCGAGAAAAUGAAUGUAUCUAGACGUAUUUUAGUUUUAGAUACAUCCAUUUUUAUUUAUUUCUGUGACAAGUAAUUCCGGACGGAGGGAGUAAUUAAUAGUAAUAUGGAUGUAUGCAUCGCUCGAUGCAGUAGCUGUGGCUUGCUCCCCUUUUCGAGAAAAGAUGAGAGACGAUCCACGGCAGUUUCCAAACAAAGAUUAUGACGUCUGGGUUUUUGUCAAUCGUAUGGUCGUUAUUUUCACGAUUGUCCCCUAAUUAAUUAUGUGGUGUGUGUGGGCUUUUGCCAGUGUUUCUCAGUUAACCGUGCAUUGUAUGGUUUUCUUUUUGCCUGGUUAUCCCUAAUUAACCAGGUAAUUCUCUUAUUUUUUAUGAAAUGCAGGAAUGCUUGCCCCUCUUGAGGUGUUCUAAAAUCAACUACAUUUUAGAGAAAAGUACGUGACUGCAUUUAGCAAAACUGUAAUUUAAUAUCACCAAAAAUAAUAGUUAGACUAAUAUACUAGAUAUGUUCACAUGUAAAACAACGUGAAUAUCUUAGGCCGGCUAUCGCUAAUUGGUUUAGAGACUUAGGUAUAUUCACGUAUCUUACUUUUUAAUCUAUCAUGCAUGUUGGAUGUCUUAACAAGAUUAUAGCAUGGUAGAAGUUGCGUACCUCAAUGUCUUCAUAUUUAAGUCCAUGAACCCCGGUUGGAUGAUCUAUCAUCACUUUGCAGCAAGUUUCUACUGGGAAACUCAAGAUGUCGUUGGAAAAAUGUGAUUUUUAGUUGGUAUUUGUGUCGAGGCAUGUGUUAACUAAAGACAACUUGAACAAGCAUAACUUAAUGGAAGUAAGAAGUAUGUGCUUUUCUGCGAUGGCGAGGAAACAAGGAUCAACAUUUGUUACUUCCAUGUCUAUUUAAGUGAUGUGGCAGGUAGUGCUCGUGGCUUGUAGCCUACCACCUCCAACAACUACCAUUCCAUGUACGUUGGCGAAUUGGUAGUCAGGGGCUAGUAAAACAUCUUAAAGCCGACAUCCGGAGCGAGUGUGUGCUUUAUGUUAGACUACAUAUGGAUAUGUUGUAAUGUUAUUGUACAUUUUAAAAAUGCUUGAUCUUUUUUUAAUGGCAUCCAAACUUUUUUUUAUAAAAAUAAUAAUAUUUCAUUUACAUAAUAUUGUAUAAAAUACAUUUUUUAGUUUUAAAACAAAGUAUGGGAAAGUAAAAUAAAAAUAACCUAAAACUUAAAAAGCUAGAAAACCAAAAACCAAAAGACAUAAAAACCGGAAAACUGAAAAAUAAAAAUCACUGAAAUGGCGCCUGUAGUACUCGGUUAACCCACUUAGUUACCUAGCACACACGAGUCAUGACGCAGAGCUGGGCCGACUCAUGGACGCUCCAGCCUAUGCGUUUCCUCGACAUUUUGUCGCACAUAGCGACGAAUAUGGCCUCUCUUGUGGCCAUAGUGGUAAAUACGCAAAGCGUUGCCUUAAGGAUUUGAUGAUGGGCCGGCAACAUAGAGGAGAGCCCGCUUUUAUAUUUGCAUCUUCUAUGAAAUGUUUAUUUUGUUGUAUUCAUUUUUCCUUUUUAUAUAUUAUUAUUUUUUACUUUCUAAUAACUUUUUUCCACAUGUUUCAUUCUAGUUCUUUGGCGUGGGGGAUAUGUAAACUUUUUUAUUAUUAUAUGAACAUAUACUGUAACACACCAGAACAUUUUUUGUCAAAUGUAUGAACUUUAAGAAACAAAUGCAUGGACAUCACGCACAUUUUUCUAGAAGACAGUGAACAGUUUUUCCAAAUAUACGAACAACUUUUCUAGAUAAACUAUUGUUUUAAUACGGACAAAAUUGAUUAUUUACCUAUAUUUUUAGAAAAUGUUAGUUUUAAACAUGAGCAUUAAAAAAUUUGUUUUAGAGGGCUACAAUGUAGCUGGCGGCCGGAAUAUAAACUAUGUUUUUGUAUGUGUUACUUUUCCUUUCGCCUUUUUCAUUCUUUUACCAUUUAUGGUCUCGGUUUUAUUCCUUUUUUGGUGUUGGGGUCGAGGGGAGGUGGGGGUACACGAACAAUUUCUCAAGUGCAUGAUCGUGCAUGGACAUUUCUAGAAAUGAUAUACUUUUUUUAAACAUGUACAAGUUUUUUGCAUGUAAGAAUUUACCACAAACUAUUUUUAAUACGAGAUGAACAUUUUCUUCUUCAAAAAUGGGCUUCCAAUAUAUAUGUCCAAAACAUUUUUCCAAAUAAAAUUUUAAGUAAAUAAACUUUUGGUAUGGAAUAAUAUAUUUUUGAACAAAAAAUAUAUAAAAUUAUUGGGUCAGACCAUAACUCAGACCAUAACAGUACUAAUGCUGUUUGGUUCCUGGGUAUAGAUACAUUUGAUAUGACAAUAAUUUGAAAUAAUUUCGGAAAAAUUCAAAAAAAAUCUAAACUUUUUUUGGAAUAAACUUGAAUUUCUUUUAGACUAGUUUAAAGUUUUCAUGAAGGGAAAAAACCCCUUGACUUCAAGGAAAAAUAUAAUAAAAUAUAUUGCUAUAUAAAGGCACCAUUCACACCUAUUUGACCAUAAAUUUUAUAUUGUUGUCCAAAGUCAACGAGUUUUUUGUGAAUUAUUUUAGAGUACAAUAGAAGGUGAAAGUUUAUUUCAAAAAUAUUUUCAUACCUUUUUGAAUAUUUAUUUAAUUACUAUAAUUUGCAUAUAUGGUGUAUAUACACAUAGGAACCAAACGGUCCUGUCAUGGUUUUCAAGGGAAAUAUACUUGUAGAGGUGCCAAAUAUAGUCCUUGCAGCAUGACAUGGAGUAUCUGCUGCUGAGCUUAUGAAUAGUAAAAAUGAAAAAAUGUCACAAAAUUCUGAAUUUUUAAAGAAAAUAAAUAUUGAUGAGUCGUCUAUGUAUGUACACGUUUUGGUGUGAAGGAAAAAAAAGUCCUAAAUAGUCUAAAAAACAAAAAUUAUGUUCCGAAAAGACUUUUUUUUAAGAGAAAUUUAGAGCAAUGAUUUUGUUUGUUUGCCCAGAGCAUUACGAAUGUUCUUUCUUCACAAAAAUUUGCACGUAUGUACAAAAUUCGUCAAUGUUUGUUACCAAUCAAUUUCAUUAUUUUUUGCUUUUUUUAAUUUUACUUUCAUGAGGGAGUAUUUGAGCUCGAGCAGAAUGGUACUUUGAGUUUUAAGGAGUGGUACACUUUCUAAAAAUGAAGUUAUAACUGGCAAAUAUAAAAUUAUCAAUAAAUCAAAGAGAAAAUAGUAUGGUGUAAUUUACUUACACCUAUAUACGUAGCAAUUUAUUAUUGUUAUGGACUGGACUAACUUUCAAUGGUCGGAAGAUUACAAAAUAUUCGAACACUCUCUUUUUCUUUCUAGCUAAUCACAUACCUACUUCCCAUUUUGCUACUAGCUAAUUGUGUUCAUGACGGAGGAACCUCAGUCAACCGGCGUUGACUCACGAUUCCAUGGAUGCAAACUAAUGACAAAACAGAAGAUUUCAGCAAAGGAUUCUUCCUAUUUUGAAACGUUAACAUAUUUUGUAACUCAAAUCAUCACUUCGAUUCAAAAUUCAUUUUUACAUAAAAAUCACCGCGACAAGAUCAUCAAAAGUAGAUCCCAUCUUGGUAUGUUUCUCACCUCUUUUAGUUCAAAAGGUACCACACCUGGACUACAUAAAUUAUCACGCCUAUAGUUCGUAACUUAUCAUGGUGUUUACACAAAAAUUACCGGGGUGUGUUUCAAGUACUUUCUUUUGUCCGAGUCAAAAUUUACCAUGGUAGUUGUAAGUAAAUAUCAGGUCUGUAAAUGCCAUCUUCUACCAUCGGUGUCAUGUCUGGGCUGCGAGGUGAGGUCCAUGUGCCGAUACAACAUGGCCCAUUUAUAAAAUGGAACUUUGUGGGUCGUGCCGGGCCAAACCCUUUUAGGCAUGUUCCGGCCGUGCAGUGCCCAGGCCGGCCCGUUGACCACCUUUGAUCAGGUCUAUUGUGCGUAAAGUACCAUGAUGUUUGCACAAAAGUUACCGAGGGUAGGGUAUGUUAUUCAACAACUUCUUUUGCUCAGAUCAAAAUUACCGUGAUGUUUCUACAUAAAUUAUUAGGUCUGCGGUCAAAUAUUACCAUGUUAUUUACAUAAAUUAUCGAGAUUGUGUUUCAAAAAACCUAGUCAAAAGUAACCAUAGUGUUUGCAUGUGAGUUAUCAGCUCUGGUUUGUGUAUACUACCUUGUUAUUUACCCAGAAAUUACCGGGAUGUAUUUUUGAACAACUUUUGUUCCUGGGUCAAAAAAAGUUACCAUAAUGUUUAUACGUGAGUUAUCAGCUCUGUUAUGCAUAUAUUAUCAUGCUAUUUGCACACAAGUUACAUCGAGUUUUUCCCCUCCACCACCAUACUAUGGAGGCGUAGACAUGCCCGUCAGUUCAUUCGAUGACCAUCACUACACAUCAUUUUAUUUAAAAUGUUGUCUUGUUGGCGAGUAGAAUAAAUGGUUGCUAUUUACACAAGAGUAACCAGGGUUAGGGGAUGUUUUUUUAAGAAAAAAUCCUUGGUAAAAAAAGUUACCGCACGUGGGUGAACUAAGUUAUUAGCUCUGUUGCCGUAUAUCACCAUGUUACUUGCACAUGAGUUACUGGGGACUUUUUUCAAUAACUUCUAAAAAAAAAGAAUGGUGGGGCAAGAGAUCGAUUUCUGUCCCAUGCCCAUGGUUUUUUGACUUAAGACGAAAAACAAACUUUAAAUGGCAGUACAUGAUAAUUAGGAGCCCAUUAAUCAUGCCAACUAAGAUAGGGGGAAUUAAAUCAUGCUAAUUAAGAGUUAAAAGACUAAAUCGGGUCAAUUAAUAGACCCCGCAAUUAAAAUGACGUUAGUUAAGGAGACACAGAAACUGAAAGUAUGGAAGGCUCGCGCGAGACCUCACGAUAAAAAAUCGAUGGCAUCCAGAUUGUUCGGAUCUAUAGCAAAAAUCAGAACGGUCGGAAAUUAUCUUUCUCGUUAACUCAUAUGGUUACUUCUGAACUAUGAAUAAAAAACAUCGAUAACCACGCAUGUACACCUGUGAAAAACCUCGCAGGGAAAAAACAUAUUUCUCAUUUUAUUUCGAGUGAGUGUGCGCGAGAGGAAGACACCUUAGAACUGACCGCAUUCAAACACGCUUUCAUUGUGUGAGCAUUGAGACCACCAUCAACAACACAAACGUGAUGCCAUGUGAAAAUAAAGGACGUGAACACAUUAGGGUCUUGAUUCAUGGUUAUGGGGUUAAAAACGUGUGUUAUUUACUCUCUUUGUUGCAACGCACGAGCUCUUUUACUAGUAAAACUAAAGGGAAGAUGUACACCACCUCCAAAGGACCUUGUAAGGGUUGGGGAUGGGUGGCCAGACCAGAGGUCCCUUGUAAGCUCAUAUCGACUAUAUAAAUAUUGCGGCAAUGUGACACCAUUGCCUUUUGAGGGUCUUGUCACUAGUUUAUUGCGUCUCUUGUCAAAGGAUCUCCAAAUGGCCUUGCUUCAUACUCAAGCCACUCGUCUUGAGAUUCCCUCAUCACCUCUCUAAGAAAGGAGAUGGCCAUGCUUCAUGAGCCAACACAACCUAAUUAAGGGCAUCUCCAACGCCGACUCUCAAAUUGCUCGCAACCGCCUGGACCGCGCGGUCUAGACAUGUUUUGCGAUCCAACACGGUCCUGAAUCAGUCCGUUCGGCAGUCCGGGCGCACUUUUUUCCAUAAACCAGAGACAAACAUGGGGUGGGGGCUUUACGGGGGUCCAGACUGCAGCCCCACCCGUGCCUAGAAACCAUGAACCACCCAAAAACCAUCUUCCUUGCCUGCGCACUUUCCCAUCCGACGUUGGUUAGUGCCGGUACAGAGCGUGAGAGCUGCAUUCAUGCUGGCCCAAAGCAGAGGUGACCUCUCACUGAGUCGUCAUUGAAGCGGCCGCCGGCUGAUAGCGCCACCUCCGCCGCUUCACAGUGCUCGCGACGUCUCUUCGCACUCAAAUGACACCAGUCCAUCCACCUCCCUCCAUUAAACGGACGUGAUUGCCGAGGAACCUACUCCGGCGCCACUAGUCCGUUUGUCCGUCAGCCGCCUACCGUUAAGGAUCGUGCUGCAUGGCUUGCCCUCUGCCUGCUAUUCAAACCCUAGGAUGGCAACACAACCACAUCAAUCCACCAUCAUCCGCUCUGCACCACACCUGCCAUAGACUCCUCUAGCUCCAAAGCCUUGUGGCACGACCUCUCGUCCAAACAUAAGAAGGAGAUCACCGCCAUUGUGGCCGGCUGGCAGGCCAUAAACGGACGAUCUCAUAGGAGGCCGGCACUGUGGACGCGCCAUUGAAAGGGGCGAACAAUGAGCCGACACCACUCUGCAUGCCGGCCAAUGCUGGCAUCACCAUGGGCAAGGUCCAUGCUCAGUACACACUGACAUGGUGCUAGAGGAGCGGGAGGCGCAUUCCGCCAGGUGCAGGCCGACUAGGCCUACAAUCUCCGCCUCCUCGACGAAUACCAGUGCACGCUAGUCGCUGCCAGAACAAGCAUUGCAGCGGACAUGGAGGUGGAUGGGUAGGAGGCACUAAUCCAGUCCUACAGCUCCAACCGCGACAUCCGCCGGAACCGCUGGUGCUACCACCAGUAUUAGGCAGAAUUAGAGGCCACCUACUGGGAGAUGGACGAGGCGGUAGGUGAAGUUUUCAGGCCCGACGACGAUGGCGGGGAGGAGGUUGGCAGCUCAUCAACGGCCGCGGCUCGACGCCACGACUAUGAUGUUGACAUCAAGGAAGAGUACAAUAUAGGAGGGCACCGACGCUCGUGUCCCAGGAAGGUCACUGCUCUUCUGCUCCUGCUAAAGCUAAACUUGGCGGGCUGAUCGUACACCGGCCAAUUUGGUGCUUGCAGGCUGCAGAGGCGGAGCUGGAGCUGGAGCUUCAGUUUCUGGGGCUCAUGGCUGGUCAAACACGGGGAAUGGGUGUGUGCGGUUAUUCAGACUAGAUUCAGUUAAAAAGUCCGAAAUGUGAUGAAUAUGCUUCGGUGACAAGCCAAGGGAAAUGUUCAGUUUAGACUUGGCACUGGUGCCCGCAUUUCUUAGAUAUAUUUUAGUCUUUCCUGCAAUGUUCAUUUAGUGAGAGGAGAUAUUGCCAUCGAGUACGAAGUUCGUCAAUCUUAAGAUGUUGUGUCGGCUCAGUACCUCGAAUGUGCUCAUUUGUAAAAUUUAUUCUAAUUCUUUUGGUGUGCUCUGAUUUUGUGUUUGAAUGUGCCAUAUAGGCCACUGAUAUGGAUUUUUUUAACACCGUAUUGACGCAGAUCAUACUUACGUACAUACACUCACCCCUAUGAACGCAUGCAUGCAACCACUAUUCAUAUGAGCACCUCCGAGAAACUGAGCCGACACAUCAUCUUGAGAUUGACGAAGUUGUUAUAGACACCUUCGUAGUUGACGGGAACGUCUCCCCCCACGAAACACACUUCACCAAAAGGCCUGAAAUAAGUUCAGGAAAAUGCGAGCAUUAAUGUCAAGUCUAGUACUUAAACUCUGGUGAGCUAUGGCCUAUGGAUACCGGUCCUUCUAAUCAUCCAACCACAGAUUGAUUCGCGGCACAUGAUUUUACUGGUCUUGUGCUUGGUAGCAGUGCAUUGGGUGGGUCUUGCCUGAUUUAUUCUAAAUAUAAUGUAAUGGCGGAAUUUUCGCCCUGCUUUGUCAGGUUUGGAGAAAAAAACAUGUCCGUUGAAGAACUAUGGCAGAAAUACACCACAUGGUUGUUCCAUUCCUUUGAAAACUCGUAACUCUGGUGGGUUUUUCUAAAACUUUCAAUCUAUUCAUCAUAUGUCUUAUCAGUACAAAUAACACAUAAAUAAUAACAAUUACAUUCAUGUUCAUAAACCACCUAACGGUAACUAACUAUCAUGGUUAAUUAUUUGCCACUUAAAAAUCAAGCAAUAUUGCUUAUUUUACCUGACACAUUCACUGGGCGUUAGUGCAUGGGUAGAUGAUUAUUAACCCUUAGAAGUAAUAAACAUGACGGCAUAUGUUUCUACCUAUCGUUCCUGGACCAUGCCAGCAUUCAGAUGCAUACAUCAAGAGGUUCACUCGGACGGCUCUGCGGCACUCGGAUGAACACAUGUCACUCGGCUGAUAGACCAUCACUCGAACCUAGAAAACAGGAGGGCGUCGCAUGAGCUACAACGGUCAAGGAACCCUAAGUCGUCCACUAAAUAGAGUUAUAGCUACGGUUACCUGUACUUUAAUAGAGGCUCAUUAAUUACAUCAGUAACUGUCUCAUUCAAUGACAUUAAUUGCCUUAGCGGCAUGGGAGACAUACGGCUACAUUUCACUCUAUAUAAGCCGUUUCCCUCUCCAUAGCCGGGUACGUUCAACCCUUGUAACCAUAUCCAUCAAAUCAAAGCAUGCCUCAGGGCACGAGAUGUAGGGCUUUUACCUCCACCGAGUGAGGGGCCUGAACUCGUUAAACACCGAGGGUUACACCUACACCGUAGCUAGUCUCCACCCUUAUUCGUGCCCCUAGUACUCACUGUCAGGAUCAUAACCGUGUGGCUAGGCGUCUAGCAAAAUUUCAUGGUGUAGGUGGAUUUCUUCUUCAUCAUCAUCAUGUCAGUCGGCGGCGAAAUCCGCUUCGGGACGAUCUCCUUCAUCGCCGAUGACUCAGUGUGGCUGAGCGAGGCCCUGCUGGACGUGGGGGCGUUGCCCGUCCGUGGCGCGUCAAACUUCCGUGCUUCCUCAUACAGAGUCCUUCUCCAACAGCCCUUGGCUCCAUACCGAGUGGUUGCCCAUCCCGCCAUUGUGCGUCGUCGCAAGUGCUCUGGGCGUUCGCGGCUGCAACGCUAGGUCAAGCACACUGUCACCACUCCGGCGGCGAUGAAACAAGUGACGACCAUCGAGUUCGAUGAGCCCGCCCUCGACCUCUCCGAUGGAUCACUUGGCAAUUCCUCACAGGAGUCUGAGUCUGAAAGCAUCGAGUCGACUAUUGAGAUUCUCAUGGCAGAUAGCUCUGAGCAUCGCUAAUGUCUACUACACAACCUUCUUCUUGUAGACGUUGUUGCGCCUGCAAGUGCACUGGUUUGUAGGACAGUAGCAAAUUUUCCUCAAGUGGAUGACCUAAGGUUUAUCAAUCCAUAGGAGGCGUAGGAUGAAGAUGGUCUCUCUCAAACAAACCUGCAACCAAAUAACAAAGAGUCUCUUGUGUCCCCAACACACCCGAUACAAUGGUAAAUUGUAUAAGUGCACUAGUUCGGCGAAGAGAUGGUGAUACAAGUGCAAAAUAGAUAGUAGAUAAAGGUUUUUGUAAUCUGAAAUUAUAAAAACAGCAAGGUAACAAGCGAUAAAAGUGAGCACAAACGGUACUGCAAUGAUAGGAAACAAGGCCUAGGGUUCAUACUUUCACUAGUGCAAGUUCUCUCAACAAUAAUAACAUAGAUAGAUCAUAUAACAAUCCCUCAACAUGCAACAAAGAGUCACUCCAAAGCCACUAAUAGCAGAGAACAAACGUAGAGAUUAUGGUAGGGUACGAAACCACCUCAAAGUUAUUCUUUCGGAUCGAUCUAUAAAAGAGUUCGUACUAGAAUAACACAUUAAGACACAAAUCAACCAAAACCCUAAUGUCACCUAGAUACUCCAUUGUCACCUCAAGUAUCCGUGGGCAUGAUUAUAUGAUAUGCAUCACACAAUCUCAGAUUCAUCUAUUCAACCAACACAAAGUACUUCAAAGAGUGCCCCAAAGUUUCUACCGGAGAGUCAAGAACGUGUGCCAACCCCUAUGCAUAGGUUCAUGGGCGGGACCCGCAAGUUGGUCACCAAAACAUACAUCAAGAGGCACAUGAUAUCCCAUUGUCACUAUAGAUAAGCACGUCAAGACAUACAUCAAGUGUUCUCAUAAAAGAUUCAAUCCGAUAAGAUAACUUCAAAGGGGAAACUCAAUUCAUCACAAGAGAGUAGAGGGGGAGAAACAUCAUAAGAUCCAACUACAAUAGAAAAGCUCGGGAUACAUCAAGAUUGUGCCAUAGAGGGAACACGAGAGAGAGAGAGAUCAAACACAUAACUACUGGUACAUACCCUCAGCCUCGAGGGUGAACUACUCCCUCCUCGUCAUGGAUAGCGCCAGGAUGAUGAAGAUGGCCACAGGUGAAGGAUCCCCCCUCCGGCAGGGUGCCGGGAAGGGCUCCUGAGAGGUUUUUGGUGGCUACAGAGGCUCGCGGCGGAGGAACUCCCUAUCUAUCUUCUCCGUGGAUGUUUUUAGGGUACGUGGGACUAUAUAGGCGAAAGAAGUCAGUCGGGAGGUGCUCGAGGGGCCCACGAGAUAGGGGGGCGCGCCCUAUAGGGGGGGGGGGCGCCCUCCUAUCUCGUGGAGUCCUCGAGUAUCUUCUGACUUGAACCCCAUGUCUCCAGAAUGAUAUUCUUCCAAAAAAAUCACGUUGACGAAGGUUGCAUUCUGUUUGGACUCCGUUUGAUAUUCCUUUUCUUCGAAAUACUGAAACAAGCAAUAAAACAACAAUAUGGGCUGGGCCUCCGGUUAAUAGGUUAGUCCCAAAAGUAAUAUAAAAGUGUAUAAUAAAGCCCAUAAUUGUUCAAAAUAGGUAAUAUAAUAGCAUGGAACAAUCAAAAAUUAUAGAUACACUGGAGACUUAUCAAGCAUCCCCAAGCUUAAUUCCUACUCGUCCUCGAGUAGGUAAAUGAUAAAAACAGAAUUUUUGAUGGGGAAUGCUACCUAGCAUGAUUCUCAAUGUAAUUUCUCUUUAUUGUGGCAUGAAUGUUCAGAUCCAAAUGAUUCAAGACAAAAGCUUAUAAAACAUAAGAAAUAGUAAUACUUCAAGCAUACUAAGCAAAGUAAUCAUGUCUUCUCAAAAUAACAUGGCCAAAGAAAGUUAUCCCUACAAAAUCAUAUAGUCUGGAUGUUGCUCUAUCUUCAUCACACAAAGUAUUUAAUCAUGCACAACCCCGAUGACGAGCCAAGCAAUUGUUUCAUACUUUAAUAAUCUCAAACUCUUUCAACUUUCACGCAAUACAUGAGCGUGAGCCAUGGACAUAGCACUAUAUGUGGAAUAGAACGGUGGUUGUGGGGAAGACAAAGAAGGAGAAGAUAGUCUCACAUCAACUAGGCAUAUCAACGGGCUAUGGAGAUGCCCAUUAAUAGAUAUCAAUGUGAGUGAGUAGGGAUUGCCAUGCAACGGACGCACUAGAGCUAAAAAUAUAUGAAAGCUCAACAAAAGAAAACUAGGUGGGUGUGCAUCCAACUUGCUUGCUCACGAAGACCUAGGGCACUUUGAGGAAGCCCAUCAUUGGAAUAUACAAGCCAAGUUCUAAUAAUGAAAAAUUCCCACUAGUAUAUGAAAGUGACAACAUAUGAGACUCUCUACCAUGAAGAUCAUGGUGCUAUUUUGAAGCACAAGUGUGGAAAAAGAGAUAGUAGCAUUGUCCCUUCUCUCUUUUUAUCUCAUUUUUUUUCUUUUUUUCUUUUUUUUCUUUCUCUUCUUUUUUUCUUUGGCCUUCCUUUUUUUUCUUUUUGACCUUUCUCCUUUUUUUCUUCUUUUUUUUUCUUUUUGUAAAGUCCGAAGUCUCAUCCCGCCUUGUGGGGGAAUCAUAGUCUUCAUCAUGCUUUCCUCACUAGGACAAUGCUCUAAUAAUGAAGAUCAUCACACUUUUAUGGAUUUACAACUCAAAGCUAGAACAAGAUAUGACUCUAUAGGAAUGCCUCCGGCGGUGUACCGGGAUAUGCAAUGAAUCAAGAGCAACAUGUAUGAAGAUUAUGAAGGUGGCCUUGCCACAAAUACGAUGUUAACUACAUGAUCAUGCAAAAAGCAAUAUGACAAAAGUAAUGUGUGUCAUAAUGAUAAUGAACGGAACGGUGGAAAGUUGCAUGGCAAUAUAUCUCGGAAUGGCUAUGGGAAUGCCAUAAUAGGUAGGUAUGGUGGCUGUUUUGAGGAAGGUAUAUGGUGGGUGUAUGGUACCGACAAAAGUUGCGCGGCACAAGAGAGGCUAGCAAUAAUGGAAGGGUGAAAGGGUGCGUAUAAUCCAUGGACUCAACAUUAAUCAAAAGAACUCAUGCACUUGUUGCAAAAAUUUAGAAGUCAUCAAAAACCAAAGCACUAAGCGCAUGCUCCUAUGGGGAUAGAUUGGUAGGAAAAUACCAUCGCUCGUCCCCGACCGCCACUCAUAAGGAAUACAAUCAAUAAAUAAAAUUAUGCUCCAACUUCAUCACAAAGCGGUUCACCAUACGUGCAUGCUACGGGAAUCACAACCCUUAACACAAGUAUUUUUCAUAAUCACCUCAACUAGCAUGACUCUAAUAUCACUACCUCCAUAUCUCAAAACAAUUAUCAAGUAUCAAAUUGAUCAUAGCAUCCAAUUCACUUCCUAUGAAAGUUUUUGUUCAAAUUACCAUGCUGUUUAAGACUCUCAAAGUAAUAUAAGUGAAGCAUGAGAGUUCAUUAAUUUCUACAAAAUAAAACCACCGCCGUGCUUUAAAAGAUAUAAGUGAAGCACUAGAGCAAAUGACAAACUACUCCAACAAGAUAUAAGUGAAGAUCAAUGAGUAGCUAAAUAAUUAAGCAACUAUGUGAAGACUCUCUCUCAUUAAAGAAUUUCAUAUCUUGGUAUUGUAUUCAAGCAGCAAGCAAAAUAAAAUAAAAUGACAUUGCAAGGAUAGCACAACUCAUGUGAAGAAGCAAAAACUUAGGCUCAACCGAUACUAACCGAUAGUUGUUGAAGAGGAAAGUUGGGAUGCCUACCGGGGCAUCCCCAAGCUUAGAUUCUUGAGACUUUUUGAAAUAUUAUCUUGGGGUGCCUUGGGCAUCCCCAAGAUUGAGUUUUUAUGUCUCCUUAAUUCCUCUCUUAUUAUGGUUUCUCUUUUUAUCAAAAGCUUCAUUCACAACAAACUCAACAAGAACUCGUGAGAUAGGUUAGUAUAAACCAAUGCAAAACCAUAUCAUAUUCUACUGUAAAAAAUCACUAACAUUAUUAUUCAACAUUGAAUACUAAAUGUCUCUGCAUAUUUAAUACUCCUAUCCUCAAAUAGAAUUAUUAAACAAGCAAACAUAUGCAAACAAUGCAACCAUAACAGCAAUCUGUCAAAACAGUACAGUCUGUAAAGAAUGCAAGAGUAUCAAUACUUCCCUGACUCCAAAAAUUAUGAACUAAAAUUCUCACUGUAAUAAAUUUAUCAUAUCUUAAUAUUCAAAAAGAUUCAAUGUUAGACCAUUCUCUGACUUUUCUAGGGAAUUUUUGCAACAGCGGUAAACUUUCUGUUUUCAAACAGCAACAUGUAUACUAGCAAAAUAAGCAUGGCAAAGGCUAUCCUUGACAUUUUUAUUGAAACUAAAGAUGAAAAACAUUAUUCUAACUAACAGAAAGCAAAAACUAGCAAAAUAAAAUGACGCUCCAAGCAAAACACAUAUCAUGUGGUGAAUAAAAAUAUAGCUCCAAGUAAAGUUACCAAUGAACGAGGACGAAAGAGGGGAUGCCUUCUGGGGCAUCCCCAAGCUUAGUUGCUUGGUUGUCCUUGAAUAUUACCUUGGGGUGCCUUGGGAAUCCCCAAGCUUAGGCUCUUGCCACUCCUUAUUCCAUAGUCCAUCGAAUCCUUACCCAAAAUUUGAAAACUUCAACCACACAAAACUCAAAACAAAACUCGUAAGCUCCGUUAGUAUAAGAAAAUAAAACAACCACUUAGGUACUGUCAUGAACUCAUUCUUUAUUCAUAUUGGUCUAAAACCUACUGUAUUCCAACUUCUCUAUGGUUCAUAUCCUCCGAUACUACUCAUAGAUGCAUCAAAAUAAGCAAACAACACAAUGAAAACAAAAUCUGUCAAAAACAGAACAGUCUUUAGUAAUCUGUAUCAAACGUAUACUUAUGGAACCCUAACAAUUAUGAAAUAAAUUGCUGGACCUGAUAAAUUUGUCUAUUAAUCAUCGUCAAAAAGAAUCAACCUAAAAUCACUCUCCAGUAAAAAAUGGCAGCUAUUCUCGUGAGCGUUAAAGUUUCUGUUUUUCACAGCAAGAUCAUAUAAACUUCACCCAAGUCUUCCCAAAGGUUCUACUUGGCACUUUAUUGAAACAAAAGCUAUAAAACAUGAUUACUACUGUAGAAUAAUCAUGUUAACACACAAAAACAGUAAGGAUAAAUAUUGGGUUGUCUCUCAAUAAGCGCUUUUCUUUAAUGCCUUUCUAGCUAGGCAUGAUGAUGACAAUGAUGCUCACAUAAAAGAUAAGAAUUGAAACAUAAAGAGAGCAUCAUGAAGAAUAUGACUAGCACAUCUAAGUCUAACCCACUUCCUAUGUCUAGGUAUUUUGUGAUCAAACAACUUAUGGGAACAAUAAUCAACUAGCAUAGGAAGGUAAAACAAGCAUAACUUCAAAAUUUUAAGCACAUAGAGAGGAAACUUGACAUUAUUGUAACUCCUACAAGCAUAUGUUCCUCCCUCAUAAUAAUUUUCAGUAGCCUCAUGAAUGAAUUCAACAAUAUAACCAGCACCUAAAGCAUUCUUUUCAUGAUCUACUAGCAUAGAAAUUUUACUACUCUCCACAUAAGCAAAAUUCUUCUCAUUCGGAAUAGUAGGAGUAUCAAAAGAGACUUGAACACUAAAAAUUGUUUCCACAUUAAAAGAGUAAUGUUCAAAGAAAGGGUAAUCAUAAUCAUGACAAGAUUUGUAAAUCUAAUCAUCACUACUUUUUGUAGCAUAAGUUUCAUCACAAUAAUCAUCAUAAGUAGCAACUUUAUUCUCAUCAUAAUCGAUUGAAACCUCUCCCAAGAUAGUGGAAUCACUAAAUAAAGUUGACACUCUUCCAAAUCCACUUUCAUAUUCAUCACAAUAAGAUUCAACAUCCUCCAAAAUAGUGGGAUCACUACUUCCUAAAGUUGACACUCUUCCGAACCCACUUUCAUCAAUAUAAUCAUCAUAGGUAGGAGGCAUGCUAUCAUCAUAACAACUUUGCAUAUCAAAACUUUGGAUGCUAAAAAUAUCAUCUUCAUUAAUCAUAGCAUCCCCAAGCUCGGGACAAACAUUAAUUUCAGCAAAUAUAUUCUCAAAUAUUUCAUACUCAUCAAACAUAGCUUCCCCAAUCUUGGGCCCUUUCAUAUCAUAAGUAUAAUCACUCUCAUCAUUAAAAAUAUGGAUAGCACCAAUAGUAAAGCAAAUAUCAUCGUCACAAUGAGUAGUAGGAGCAACAUCAUUUGGGAGGGAUACCUUUUUACCUUUGCUGCCCCUUCUCUUUCUUUUCUUCUUCACAUUAUGUGUGGGUUCAACCUUCUUUAUUGAUGGGAUUGGUUGAAUAGAAAGCUCCUCCUCGUUACCUGAAUCAUCAUAAGAAAUAAUAGGAGGAGGUUGGGAAGUCUCUUCCCUUUCAUUAGUAUUCUCUUCAUCUUCUAUUUGCUUUCUUUUCUUUAGGUAAUUGGCAAUAUAAGGAUUUUCAAUGCAAUUCACCACACAAAACAUAUAAAUCUUUUCUAGAUCAAUAUCAAGGAAAUGCCUAAGAUUAAAUUCUGGAAUAGGCUUAGUUAAACGUUUCAACUCUUCACAACCCAAAAGCAAUCUAAGUUCAUUGUAAUGAGAAGGGGAGAUAAAAUCAUCACAAUUUUUGGACACGAUCCGAUCAUGAAACAAUUUGCAUUGGAGAUGUAAAUGAUCUUGGUUUUUGCAAAAUUCACAACGGGAAAGAUAUCUUAAAUUCUCUGCACUCUUAUCUAGCCUUUCUUGCAGCCUCUUAGUUUCUAAAUACUUAUGAUUUUUGAAAUAUGUAUCUUCUCUAUUUGGUGUGUUCAUGCAAACAUGCACUCCACAAAAGUUGGCAUGCUUAUGAGAGAUAUUUUCAUCAUAACUAGUGCAAUCAUCAUUAGUACUACGUAUAUUCAAGGAGUUUAUACUAACAACAUUCCAAUCAUGCUCUUCAUUCAAAGAUUUAGUAUCAAGCAUUUUAAUUCAUUCUUCUUCUAGCAGUUGAGCACAAUUUUCCUUUCCAUCAUACUUACGAAAGAUAUUAAAAAGACGAAGCUUAUGAGACAAACUUAAAUCCAUUUUUUUGUAGUUUUCUUUUAUAAACUAAACUAGUGAUAAAACAAGAAACAAAAAGAUUCGAUUGCAAGAUCUAAAGAUAUACCUUCAAGCACUCACCUCCCCGGCAACGGCGCCAGAAAAGAGCUUGAUGUCUACUACACAACCUUAUUCUUGUAGACGUUGUUGGGCCUGCAAGUGCACAGGUUUGUAGGACAGUAGCAAAUCUCCCUCAAGUGGAUGACCUAAGGUUUAUCAAUCCGUAGGAGGCGUAGGAUGAAGAUGGUCUCUCUUAAACAACCCUGCAACCAAAUAACAAAGAGUCUCUUGUGUCCCCAACACACCCAAUACAAUGGUAAAUUGUAUAGGUGCACUAGUUCGGCGAAGAGAUUGUGAUACAAGUGCAAAAUAGAUAGUAGAUAAAGGUUUUUGUAAUCUGAAAUUAUAAAAACAGCAAGGUAACAAGUGAUAAAAGUGAGCACAAAUGGUAUUGCAAUGAUAGGAAACAAGGCCUAGGGUUCAUACUUUCACUAGUGCAAGUUCUCUCAACAAUAAUAACAUAGAUAGAUCAUAUAACAAUCCCUCAACAUGCAACAAAGAGUCACUCCAAAGCCACUAAUAGCGGAGAACAAACGUAGAGAUUAUGGUAGGGUACGAAACCACCUCAAAGUUAUUCUUUUGGAUCGAUCUAUAAAAGAGUUCGUACUAGAAUAACACCUUAAGACACAAAUCAACCAAAACCCUAAUGUCACCUAGAUACUCCAUUGUCACCUCAAGUAUCCGUGGGCAUGAUUAUACGAUAUGCAUCACACAAUCUCAGAUUCAUCUAUUCAACCAACACAAAGUACUUCAAAGAGUGCCCCAAAGUUUCUACCGGAGAGUCAAGAACGUGUGCCAACCCCUAUGCAUAGGUUCAUGGGCGGAACCCGCAAGUUGGUCACCAAAACAUACAUCAAGAGGCACAUGAUAUCCCAUUGUCACCAUAGAUAAGCACGGCAAGACAUACAUCAAGUGUUCUCAUAAAAGAUUCAAUCCGAUAAGAUAUCUUCAAAGGGGAAACUCAAUUCAUCACAAGAGAGUAGAGGGGGAGAAACAUCAUAAGAUCAAACUACAAUAGCAAAGCUCGGGAUACAUCAAGAUCGUGCCAUAGAGGGAACACGAGAGGGAACACGAGAGAGAGAGAGAGAGAGAGAGAGAGAGAGAGAGAGAGAGAUCAAACACAUAACUACUGGUACAUACCCUCAGCCUCGAGGGUGAACUACUCCCUCCUCAUCAUGGAUAGCGCCGGGAUGAUGAAGAUGGCCACCGGUGAAGGAUCCCCCCUCCGGCAGGGUGCCGGGAAGGGCUCCCGAGAGGUUUUUGGUGGCUACAGAGACUCGCGGCGGUGGAAUUCCCUAUCUAUCUUCUCCGUGGAUGUUUUUAGGGUACGUGGCACUAUAUAGGCGAAAGAAGUCGGUCGAGAGGUGCUCGAGGGGCCCACGAGACAGGGGGGCACGCCCUACAAGGGGGGUGCCCUCCUAUCUCGUUGAGUCCUCGAGUAUCUUCUGACUUGAACUCCACGUCUCCAGAAUGAUAUUCUUCCAAAAAAUCACGUUGCCGAAGGUUUCAUCCCGUUUGGACUCCGUUUGAUAUUCCUUUUCUUCGAAAUACUGAAACAGGCAAUAAAACAGCAAUAUGGGUUGGGCCUCCAGUUAAUAGGUUAGUCCCAAAAGUAAUAUAAAAGUGUAUAAUAAAGCCCAUAAUCAUUCAAAACAUGUAAUAUAAUAGCAUGGAACAAUCAAAAAUUAUAGAUAUGUUGGAGACGUAUCAACCGCGUACCCCCGGGUUACAUAGAGCCCAAAGAUGAGACGUAGGGCUUUUACCUCCACCGAGUGAGGGGUCUGAACUCGUUAAACACCAACUAUUACACCUACGCUGUAGCUAGUCUCUGCCCCUUAUUCGUACCCCAAGUACUCAUUGUUAGGAUCAUAACCCCGACAGUUGGCGCCCACCGUGUGGCUGGGCGUCUAGCAAAAUUUCACGAUGCAGGUGCAUUUCUUCAUCAUCAUCAUGUCAGUCGGCGGCGAAAUCCGCUUCAGGACGAUCUCCUUCAUCGCCGAUGACUCAGUGUGGUUGCGCGAGGCCCCUCUAGAUGAGGAGGCGUUGCCCAUCCGUGGUGCGUCGCACUUCCGCACUUCUUCAUAGGGAGUCCUUCUCCGACAGCCCUCGGCUCCAUACCGAGUGGUUGCCCAUCCCGCUGUUGUGCACCGUUGCAAGUGUUCCAGGCGAUCGCGGAUGGAACGCUGGAUCAAGCACGCUGUCACCAUUCAGGCGGCGACGGAACAAGUGGCGUCCAUCGAGUUUGAUGAGCCCUCCCUCGACCUCUCCGAUGGAUCACUCGGCAAUUCUUCAAAGGAGUCCGAGUCCAAAAGCAUUGAGUCGACUGCUGAGAUUCUCAUGGAAGAUAACUCUAAGCACCGCAAACCCCCUGGUUACACGGAGCCCAAAGAUGACUGUGCGGGUACUUCCCAUGCCAACACCAACGGAGGCUUACUGGGCCACGAGCCGUAUGUACCUCAGGCUCUCACACGGAAGUAGCGGGAAGAGCUCUGUCGUAGGAACGAUCAGCUCUUGAACACUCCAAUUACCGGGACGACUCCUGAGGCGCUAGCCAUGGAGUCGACUCGCCUGGCCACUCUGGCCGAGCGCGAUCGCCUCGAGCGGCUUCAAAGAGAGCUAGACGAGCGCGAGCGUCGUCAACCCAGAUUCAGUCGACUCUAUUCGAGUGACCAACCUCGUAAGUAUCAAGUGCUUAGUACUCCGUUGCAAAACCUAGCAGCCACUACUCGGAUCGCGGAUUCCAUCCAGCCCUCUGGCUCUUCAGUCGGAGAAGGGAUUCCUCAGAUCCAGGCACUCCUCAAGACAACACUGUCGCAGAAUGCGGUGGUGUCCUAGUACAGAGACCGUAUCCAUAGCGCAUAUGUGCGUGCGGAGACCGUCCAGUCGGCUCAUAGCCGACUCGGCUUGGGCAGGCGCCUAGCCACUUCCUCCUCCAGAGAUUGUCAUGAAGAUCGGAGACGCGAUCGAGCCGCGUCGCCCUGGUGUAGCGACGACUAUGAUCGUGCCUUGAUGCCUCCAUCACAAGAUGUCGCGUAUGAGCGCCAACCCUACGAUGACAGGCAGACGUACGGCAGCAACCGCAUGCCGAGUCCUACUUGCCCUUGAGAGACACUCGAGACCCGCUAUUCAACACGAGAUCCAUUCUUGCAUAGAACAUGGUCAAUAGAGGCUAGGCCUUGCGAGAAGGCCAAGAUCACGACGUGAAGAGUGGUUCUGUACCAUCAGGUAGAGAGUGUUUUAGUUGUUACAUACGAGCAGGUGAGAUACCCAACAACUUCAGGUUGGCCAAGGUAAUCAGCAAGUUCACCGGCGAAUCCAAGCCCGCAAUUUGGCUAGAAGAUUACCGACUGGCAGUCCAUAUUGGCGACGACACUGAUAAUGUGUCCAUGAAACAUUUUCCGUUGAUGCUAGAAAGCUCCGCUUAGGCUUGGCUAACAUAGCUCCCGCCGACUAGCAUUUUCUGCCGGGACUAUCUGGCGAAGGUAUUCGUCAAAACCUUUGAAGGCACAUACAAGAGAGCAAGAGGUUUGACCGAGUUGUAACAUUGUGUGUAGAAGCAAAAUGAAACUCUCCGAGAGAAUAUCCACUGGUGGACCACUCUGCACAAUACGGUGGAGAACGUUACCGAGCACCAGGCAAUCUGUGCCUUCAAGGCCGGAGUUAGAUACCGGGAGUUGAACAUGAAGUUCGGGGCCCAGCGGGGUUCCUUGUGAACCACAUAGGACAGAGAGCACUCCACCUCACCCCCUCCUUGGAACUCUCUUCCUUGUUGCUCUCCACAUCAUCGUCACUGUUGUCGUCAUCAGUUUCCUCCAAGUACUGCCACUCGGUGUCGCUCAUCACGUCUUCAGGCGACCGAUCUACCACCGGGAUAUUUGAAAUCAUGUUCUGAAACUCCUGAAGAAGUAGACAUAGCAAGCCAUCAAAAUCAGAUACACGAAAACAAUACAUCAACGGGUCAAAUAGGUAGGAACAUCCUAUCUCAACAGUCGGCAGGAGCUCUCUGAAGUAAGCUGACACCAUCCUGGACCCCCGCGGAUUGUCCCGGGCAAAGGUUAUGACCCAGAUAUUUGCCGCCAUGUCCUUCUCGGCAAGCUCCUCCGGGUGCACUCGGGUGGGAUCAUUCAGACCCUCAUACUGCCAUAAGGGGUCGGUCCUAGCAUGUAGUGGCUGGAUCCAUCGACUGAGAAAAGUCUCCAACAGAUCCAUUCCGUUUAUUCCCACGUUCAUGAAUCCGACGAGGGUGGGGCCAAGAUACAGAGCUCCGCUUUCUCCUCCUUCACCACCACAAGGGACUCGGGAGCCCUGACCCACUCCUUCGAGUAUGAAGGGAUGCCCAACUGGUUUGGGCCACUAGGACCAUCCGUGCAGUAGAACCAGGUCCCCUCCCAUCCCUUGAUGGACUCGCGAAAGCUCAUCUUUGGGAAAGCACUUCCCCCACGGACCUGGAUGCCCAGGCCUCCGCACAACUGGGUGACGUGGGUCUUCGCACCGACUGAUGGAUCCUUCUUCACAGUCAUCGAUCAACAUGUAAAAAUAGGCUUGAAGAGCCCCCAAUGGGAUUAGCAUCCGAGGAAAUUCUCGCAGAGGGAAACGAAGGCUACGAGGUAGAUGAUGGCAUCGGGAGGAAGGUGAUGUUGAUGCGCAUCAAAGUAGUCAAGGAAAGCACAGAAGAAGGGAUAGGUAGGCAUGAAGAAGCCCUGCACGACAUGAGUGAUGAGCAAGACUAGCUUGUCUUCCUGUGGUGCUGGCUCGACCUCGCCCACAUCCAUGUGGCGCCACCCAUCGUGAGGUAUGAGCCCCUCCUUGGCGAGCUCCUCUAGCCAUCAUGACGUGACUCGCGAUGGGAUCCAGUACCCCGACACGCUUCUAGCAGCCGUACCGGAGCCGUAGGAAGAAGUCGCCCCCGCCUUCUUUGCCCUCUCUGCUUUUGGCAUGGAGCCCUUCGCCAUCACCGCACACUUGGGAGGAGCAGAGAAGCGGAGGAGCCGGGAGGAGAGAAAAGGGGAUCUGAGGCCCAAAGCUCUAUCGUCAAAUAUUUUAUACCUCCGGAUAAAAUCCUUAGCCAAAUCUCCCACCACGAAUCUCUGGAUCGGCGGAACGCGCAGCAAGGCUUUACACAGGACAGGUGCAACACGUGGCAGGGAUUGUGUGCACAAAUCGAAGAGCCACGCCCCCACUUUCCCACUAACGCACGACGUGACCGCUUCAGUGCGCGAACACACGAAUUCGAAUCCCGAGAUUUCUAGGACAUUUCAAUCCGAUUGAUUACCAGCGAUUCCUUUCCUAAAGGACACACAUCAGCCCUACUGACCACCAUUCAUGGGGACCUGUGCACUCGGCCACGUUAAACACCUGACUAAUGUCACCUUCAGGAUCGUUAUCUGAUGAGCCUGAUGCCCCUCUAUGAGUUCACUUGGCCCUCCCGGUAGGCUCCAAGAUGCAUGACUCGUAAACCUGGACUCAUAGGAGGCCUGCGCUAGUGUUCCCCUGGGAUAAGGAGUGGCGUCUCUCUGGAGAGUCAGACCACGCGCUGACAUCGCCACUAGAGUUUUCAUGGCAUGCCCUCUCUCGGGCUCCUAGUCCAUCUCCUUCGAGAGACAAAACAAAUGCCACCGGGUUCUUUCACGACAAUUGACAACACCCGGUCAUCUGGGUAAACCUAAAUCCAGAAUCCGUUGUGUUUUCGUCUAGGGAACAACAAAUCAUAACAUAUUUCGAGUGCCCCUGCAGCUCUCGGACUCAAUCAAAGGAUCGGUUUAUUUGUCCUACGAAAUCCCAACCAAUUUGGGGGCUAAUGAUGUGCUCACCUCUUACAGGUAGGGUGAAGGACACAUCAUUUGGGACCCACAUAGGGCCCAUUACCAUCAUAGGUAGGUCCCUGGACCAUGCCAGCAUUCGGAUGCAUACAUCAGGAGGUUCACUCGGACGACUUUGUGGCACUUAGACAAACACAUGUCACUUGGGUGAUAGACCACCACUCGGACGUAGAGGAUAGGAGGGCGUCGCAGGAGCUGCAAUGGCCGAGGAAUCAUAAGUCGUCCACUAAAUAGAGUUAUAGGUACCAUUACCUAUAACUGCUAUAGUAGAGGCUCAUUACACCAGUAGCUAUCUCAUUCAAAGACAUUAAUUUCCUUGGCGGCGUCGGAGACAUGGGGCUGCAGCGCACUCUAUAUAAGCCAGUCCCCUCUCCAUAGUCGGGCACGUUCAAUCCUUGUAACAAUAUCCAGGGCACGAGACGUAGGGCUUUUACCUCCACCGAGUGGGGGGCCUAAACUCGUUAAACACCAAGUGUAACACCUACGUCGUAGCUAAUCUCUGCCCCUUAUUCGUACCCCUAAUACUCAUUGUUAGGAUCAUAACCCCGACAGUUGGUGCCCACCAUGUGGCUAGGCAUCUAGCAAAAUUUCACGAUGUAGGUUGAUUUCUUCAUCAUCAUCAUGUCAGUCGGCGGCGAAAACCGCUUCGGGACGAUCUCCUUCAUCUCCGAUGACUCAGUGUGGCUGCGCGAGGCCCCGCUGGACGUGGAGGCAUUGCCCGUCCGUGGCGCGUCACACUUCCGCGCUUCAUCAUACAGAGUCCUUCUCCGACAGCCCUCGGCUCCUUAGCGAGUGGUUGGCCAUCCCGCUAUUGUGGGACAUCGCAAGCGCUCCGGGCGUUCGCGGCUGCAACACUUGAUCAAGCACGCUGUCACCACUCAGGCGGCAAUGGAAAAAGUGGCAGCCAUCGAGUUAGAUGAGCCCGCCCUCGACCACUCCGAUGGAUCACUUGGAAAUUCCUCAGAGGAGUCUGAGUCCGAAAGCAUCAAGUCGACUGCCGACACUCUCAUGGCAGAUAACUCUGAGCACUGCAUACCCCUGGGGUACACGGAGCCCAAAUAUGACAGUGCGGGUACGUCCCACGCCAACACCAACUACGACUUCCCAGACCACGAGCCAUAUGUACCUCAGGCUCUCACCCGGGAGCAGCGGGAGGAGCUCCGUCGCAGAAACAACCAGCUCCCGAACGCUCCAAUUACCGGGACGACUCUUGAGGCGCUAGCAAUGGAGUCGACUCGCCUGGCUACUCUGGCCGAGCACGAUCUCCUCGAGCAGCUUCAGAGAGAGCUAGACAAGCGCGAGCCUCGUCAACCCAGUUCCAGUCGGCAUAAACAUCGGCUCUAUUCGAGUCACGUGGCCCUGGCGUAACGACGACUACGAUUGUGCCCUGAUGCCCCCACCACGAGAUGUCGCGUACAGGCACCAACCCUAUAACGACUGCUGGAUGUACAUCGGCAAUUGCAGGCCGAGUCCUACUCUCCCAUCAAGAGACACUCAAGACCCGCUAUUCAACGCGAGAUCCGUUCUCGGUCAGAACCUGGUUGAUAGAGGUUGGGCCUUGCUAGAAGGCCAAGAUCAUGACGUGCCUAGUGAUUCCGUACCAUCGGGUCCUGAGUGUUUCAGCCGUUACAUACGAGCAGCUGAGAUACCCAACAACUUCAGGUUGGCCAAGGUAAUUAGCAAGUUCACCGGUGAAUCCAAGCCCGAAAUUUGGCUAGAAGAUUACCGACUGGUAGUCCAGAUUAGCGUGGGAAACGAUAAUGUGGCCAUGAAACAUUUGCCGCUGAUGCUAGAAAUCUCUUCUCGGGCUUGCCUAACACAGCUCCAGCCGGGUAGCAUUUUCUGCUGGGAUGAUCUGCAAAGGUGUUCGUCAAAACCUUUGAAGGCACAUACAAGAGAGCGGGAGGUUUGACCAAGUUGCAGCACUGUGUGCAGAAGCAGAAUGAAACUCUGCGAGAGUAUAUCCAGCAGUGGACUACUCUGCACAAUACGGUGGAGAACAUCACCGAGCACCAGGCAAUCUGCGCCUUCAAGGCCGGAGUUAAAUACCAGGAGCUGAACAUGAAGUUCAGCCGAACUGAGACCCCGACUCUCGGUCACACUAUGGAGAUAGCCAACCGGUAUGCCAAUAGUGAAGAGGAGGACCGACUGAGGAGCGGCAAGAGCCAAGCCGACAAAGUGCAUCAGUCAGAGAACAAAGACAUAGUGCAACAAAUACGACCGGGGUCACUCAGUGGUGCAUAUCCCCGGAGGAAGGGCAACAAAUACUGCAAGAGAUUCACUCGGGAACAUGUGGGCAUCAUGCGUCUUCUCGGACCCUAGUCGCCAAAGCUUUCAGAGCCGGAUUUUAUUGGGCCCGAGCCAAUGAGGCUGCUUGAGCCAUAGUGGAUCAAUGCAUUGGGUGCCAAUUCUAUGCAAACCAAUCACACAAGCUGACAUCUUCCCAGAAGACUAUCCCCCUCACUUGGCCAUUCGCCGUCUGGGGCCUUGACAUGGUUGGCCCUCUUCGGACUGGGAUGAGUGGCUUCACGCACCUGUUGGUAACAGUGAACAAGUUCACCAAGUGGAUCGAAGCCAAACCCAUAAAGAAGCUGGACUCGGCCACUGCGAUUCAAUUCAUCAAUGAUACUAUCUUCAAUUUCGGAGUCCCACAUAGAAUCAUCACCGACAAUGGGUCUAACUUCCACUCAGACGAGUUCUGGGAGUUCUGUUACACCUAGGCACUCGGGUCGAUUACGCUUCUGUGGUGCACCCGCAGUUGAAUGGUCAAGCCGAGAGGGCAAAUGGGCUCAUAGUUCAGGGAUUGAAACAUCGCCUCAUGCAGCCGGCGCCUGGGUGACCGAACUACCGUCUGUCCUUUGGGGCUUGCGAACGACCCCAAAUUGAUCCAUGAACCGCACCCCCAUUCUUUAUGGUGUACGGGUCAGAAGCAAUCUUGCCGAGUGAUCUGCUCCACAACUCUCCCCGAGUGGAUCUCUAAUCGGAGGCUGAAGCGGAGGAAGCAAGGCAGGAUGGCUUAGACCUUCUGGAGGAAGAACGUGAGCUAGCGCUUAUAAGAUCAACAUUGUACCAACAAGACUUGCACCACUACCAUGAUAGACACGUCAGAGGACGUGGCUUCUAGGAAGGAGACUUGGUCCUCCGAGUGGAUCAACAGAAACUUCACAAGCUAGCACCCCCUGGGAGGGACCAUUCUCCAUAUCCAAGGUCUUGCACAAUGGAGCAUACAGAGUGUACAACGCCACCAAAGGAAUAGAAGAGCUCAGAGCUUGGAAUGCAGAUUUGCUCCGCAAGUUGUAUACCUAGAAUAAAUUUCUCCCUUGUAACAGUUAGUCCGAAUGAAUUUAGAUGAAUAAAAGUCUCGCUUUUUUAUGUGUCGUCUAGUUUGACCUACGGUCGCGUUCCACUCAGGUGACUAAUGCAUUCGGCAUCUAACUCAUCUCUAGUGGGUGAAGAGGUGAGAAAGCUUAGCCGCGAACCAGCUUUCGCCUAAGUUAAAAAAACAACUUGCGUGGGGAUUUGUUCCACACUCGAAGGCUUAUUCGUGAACUAUCUUUCGCCUAAGUUAAAAAACAAUCCGAGUGAGGAUCUGUUCCACACUUGGGGUCUUAGCCGCGAACCAGCUUUUGCCUAAGUUAAAACACAAUCCGAAUGAGGAUCUGUUCCACACUCGAGGGCUUAGCCGUGAACUAGCUUUCGCCUAAGUUAAAAACAAUCCAAGUGGGGAUCCGUUCCACACUCGAGGGGCUUAGCCGUGAACCAGUUUUCGCCUAAGUUAAAAAACAAUGCGAUUGAGGAUCUGUUCCGCACUCGGGGGCUUAGCCGCAAACUAGCUUUCGCCUAAGUUAAAAAAAACAAUCUGACUGAGGAUCUGUUCCACACUCGGGGGCUUAGCCAUGAGCCAGCUUUCGCCUAAGAUAAAAAAUGAGACAUGAAGCAAAAAGAAGUGCAAGAGGUUUAAAACCAAAAGAUUUAAUCCGUCUGAAUGUCUCUGAGAUAAAACAAGCUCAAUGCUCGCCGAAGUAUUUCAUUAGCUCAACCACCCAGCAUUCCGGGGCAAAUUCAACCAAAUUUUUUAAGCUUCAGGGGGAGGGCUAGCUGGAUCAACGAAGGUCUCCAGGUUUAUCUCGUUGGCGAUAUGAGUGGAAGCUUCAGCAAAGGUCUCCAUGAAAUCCUCAAACUUGAGGUUCUUCUUGUUCACCACUCGGAGGUUCUUCAACCUCAUCCAUGCUCUUGCAAUGAACACGAAUGAGUGAUAGCGCCACAUCAGCUCCACUUCGAGCGGCAGACAUCUUCCAAGAUUUUACCCAAGCAGGGAUCUUGUUUAGCCUCGUCAACACCGACUCUAGGUCCUUCCGAGUCUCUUUGCCCGGCUGCAACUCCGCAACAAUCCGAACUGCAACGCCUUUCAUCCGAGUGAUGUAGCCCAAUGUGUUAUCCAAGCGGUCUUCAAGCUGAAGGGUGGCGAGGGCGGCAUUGUCGGCGAUAAGUGACCUAGAAUGGUCCAGAUCCUUCUAGAUCCUAGCCAGCUCCAUAUACUUGUUGUAACAAUGCUCUGCAUCAAUAAGAACAAUCUGUGAGCAGAUGACUGAGGAAAACUUGGCAACGUACGGAUUUCACUCGGUCAAAGAACUUACCAGCAAGCUUCUCACUAAACUCUUCACAGACAUCCUCGAUUUGUUUCUCCAGGGCCUCCUUCUUGUCAGUCAGUUGUGUGACCUUCUCCUCCAGCUCGGCCUUCUCUUGAGUGGAGGCGUUAAUGAUGGACUUGAGGUCCUUGAUCUCAUCCUCCAACUUGCCGACUGAAGCCAGCUUCUCGUCAGCAAGUUUGGUCUUGGUCCUGGCUUCCUUUUGGUCCCUUCCCAGGUCCUUGUCUUUGUUCUCUAGAGCCUGCUUCAUAGUUUCUAAAGAAAUAGAAGUCCGGCGCCUCAUAACCAGUUGGGCGUUCUCACUACGAACAUCUGUUGGGGUGAAACGAUUUAGAUCAAAGGAAAAAACAGUAUGUAGCUACCAGUCGGAGGAUACAGCUUACCUCUGAGGGUUUUCUUCUCCUGCUCCAUUCGGGCGCUCUUGACUUCUCGGCCUCCAGUUUGAGUCGAAGAGAUGCCACCUCCUUCUCCAUCGUGGCAUAGUGGGAUCCCAUCUCACAGGUCCUCUGCACAAUACAAGAAACAGUCAGUCGGAAGACUCAAACGAGAAACCAAUGUAGUAACCCUCAAACAUCUGGGAAGACACCUGUCGGUGUCAAAACCGGCGGAUCUCGGGUAGGGGGUCCCGAACUGUGCGUCUAGGCGGAUGGUAACAGGAGACAAGGGACAUGAUGUUUUUACCCAGGUUCGGGCCCUCUCGAUGGAGGUAAAACCCUACUCCUGCUUGAUUAGUAUUGAUGAUAUGGGUAGUACAAGAGUUGAUCUACCACGAGAUCAGAGAGGCUAAACCCUAGAAGCUAGCCUAUGGUAUGAUUGUUGUUCGUCCUACGGACUAAAACUCUCCGGUUUAUAUAGACACUGGAGAGGGCUAGGGUUACAUAGAGUCGGUUACAAUGGGAGGAGAUCUUCAUAUCAUAUCGCCAAGCUUGCCUUCCACGCUAAGGAAAGUCCUAUCCGGACACGGGACAAAGUCUUCAAUUUUGUAUCUUCAUAGUCCGGGAGUCCGACCAAAGGUCAUAGUCCGGCCAUCCCGGCACCCCCUAAUCCAGGACUCCCUCAGUAGCCCCUGAACCAGGCUUCAAUGACGACGAGUCCGGCGCGCAAAUUGUCUUCAGCAUUGCAAGGCGGGUUCCUCCUCCGAAUACUUCAUAGAAGAUGUUGAACACAAGGAUAGUGUCGGGCUCCGCAAAACAAGUUCCACAUACCACCAUAGAGAGAGUAAUAUCUGAACAAAUCUAAUCUGCUGACGUAUUCCGUAGCGUGACAUCAUGCCACGGCCAAGCCUUUAUUCGAAUCAUUUUACUGUUCCACCUCAGCGCGUUUAGCGAGGCGGUUUCCUUGGCACAUCUUGUCAAAGCAGAGAUCUUGUCCCCUUAUUCUGGGAUUCUCAUCAAUACGGGUGUGGGUAACCCAACCACGCCAUUAACCGCGGCACUUGGGAGAUAAGCGAGUUUUAUUAGGCUGGUGGGGGCUUAUAGUUUCAGCCCAUAUAAGGGGAUAAGGAUCCACCCUUUUCAUUUACGCCUUCUUCCUCCUUUGCUUAUCCAUCCCUGCGCACUCGAGCUCCAGCGCCCAAGUCCGCACUUCCCACCUCAACCAUUCUCCAAUCAUGUCCGGAGCAGGAGGUCCAUGGAUGGCCUCCUCCAUCACGGAGGGGCAAAUCAAAAAGUUGAGGAAGGCCGGAUACUUGUCUGACGACAUCGCGCACUGCCUUCUAGAUGAGGGGCAACUCAUCCCCACCCCUGGGGUCGUAUUCUAGAUGAGAGGGUCGUAUUUCUUCCCCAUUUCCUCCGCGGACUGGGCUUUCCUCUUCACCUGUUCGUCCGGGGGCUCAUGUUCUGCUACGGCCUGGACUUCCACGAUCUGGCCCCGAACUUCAUCCUCAACAUCUCGGCGUUCAUCGUCGUAUGUGAGGCCUUCCUCCGUAUCCAGCCCCACUUCGGCUUAUGGCUGAAGACCUUCAAUGUCAAGCCGAAGGUUGUGGGCGGGCGACAAGUGGAGUGCGGAGGCGCCAUGGUGGGCAAGAUAGCCAAUGUUACAUGGCUCGACGGCGCCUUCAUGGAAACCAUCAAAGGGUGGCAAUCGGGGUGGUUCUACAUCACCGAGCCGCAUGACCCUGAAUGGGCAGUGGCCCCCGAAUUCCGAUCUGGCAUCCCCACACGGCUCACAUCUUGGAAAGAGACGGGUCUGUCGUGGGGUAGUUCGGCAGAGGUGACCAGACUUCAAACCUGCGUCAAAGAUCUGAUAGACAGGAAGGUCCAACUCAUCACCGUAGUCCAGGUCAUGCUUUUCCGCCGGAUCCUCCCGUGUCAACGACGGGCCUUUAAUCUGUGGGAAUUCGACCCGGCUCAGCACCAAACUUUGUCCAGGUUCUUCGAUACAACGCACGAUGAUGCCUGGAAGGUGCUUUUCAAGAGCUCCGAGGUCCACCCUCCCAUCACCGAGGAUCGCGGAUUCUGCGCGAAGCGCCAAGCCAGUGUGGUAAGCUUAAUUUUCCCAUUACGGGGUAUUUGUUUUCCAUAGUUUUGAUUCUAUGCGGGAUCUAAACUCCCAUCCCUUUAACAGGACUGGCAGAAGAAGGCCGGACGAACCAACUGUCUGGCUCCUUUGCCCGAAGACCCAGCGGAUGCUCGUUUAACGAAGCUGCUGGUUCCGGCACCUCACGUGGUGCCAGAGAAGAAUGCCAAGAAGAAGGCCACGGGGACUCGAAAGAGUUCCCGACACCUGGUGGUGUCGGAUUCAUCGCCUGACAACCCCGAAGCACCCUCCGCCUCUGAGGACGAGGAGGAGGAAGAAGAAGAAGCCUCUUCCCCUCCAGCGGGGGGAAGAAAGAAAAGGAAGGCCGCCCCAACUAGGGAGGCCGGAGGGUCCAAGAAGGGGAAGACCUUUCUACCAGACUACAUCUCCGGUGCCGAGGAUGUCGGGGAGGAAUGGCCAUCCAGGGUCAAGCCCCUGGCAAAAUCGUAAGUAUCCGGAUACCCGAAUAACUUAUGGCACUCCUCUAUUAUACGGUACCUUCUGACGCCGAAUUCAAUCAUGCAGUCCGCCCAAGGCUCAGCUCGAAGAUUCGUCGAGCGGCUCCCUGGAUUCGUCAGAUGUGAAUAGAGCUUCACUUUCGACGACCUCCUCCCUGCUCCCUGCGGACGACGCCGAGGUGGACUCCCAAAAGGGACUAAACCAGGAGGAGGUGGUCCUGGAGGCGCCGCAAGGCGACCUACCGGAUUCCAGGCCCGAAGGGGGUAAAGCCCCAGAGGUGUCUAAGUCCGGCCCUGGGCCAGACACUGCUCCGGAACCUUCAGUGGUUCCGGAGUCCGGCAGGCGGCGCCUUCAUAAGAAGGGCAAUCCUACGACGCCGGCGACCUCCGUCCAACCGGAGGCAUCGGACAAUUUGCUGGAGGUUCUUAACAGCGCCUCCAUCGACGAGGAACACCGCACUGUUAUGAGUGCAGUGAUUCAGAAGGUUCAGUCCGCCAAGAGCGGGCUAACUGAAGCAUGUACCAGCCUUCUAACAGGCUUUGAGGUAAGUUUUAAGAUAUGUAAGAAUAUUACCGCAUAGACAGUAGCCCCUGAUGCUCAGUUUGGUGUUCGGAAAGAAAAGCCGAGCUGAGGAUCUAAAAAGAUAUACGCAGGAGUCUAACAUAAAUAUGUCAAUAUGGGAAUGCAGGCUGCGCUGCUGACCUCUGCCGCACUGACUGCGGAGGUCAAUGCAUUGAAGGAGAGCCUCGAGCGGUCCGAGAACGAGCUCGGCCUUGCCAAGAAGCAGCUCGAGGACAAGGAAGGUAAGUAAUACCUUAUAGAAAGGAUUUGGUUGCAAAAAAUGACAGGAAUAACGUGGGUAUUGCAGGGGCCAUGAUCGAGGUGGCGACCCUAAAGGAAGCGGUGUCCAAGGCCGAAAAUAGUGUGGCCUUGGAGCGCACCGAGCGAGAGAAGCAGGAGGCGCGGGUGGCGGAGGUGCGGCAAGAGCUCCAGGCUCUCGUGGAGAAACACGAGAGUUUGGAGCGUGACUCGAAGACUCGAGAGCCCGAGCUCGCCUUGGCUCUUGAGAGUGCAAAAACCGCUAAGGCCGAAGCCCAGAAGGCCCUCCAGGAGAUCGAGGCGAUAAAGAAGAUAGCGGCGGGUAAGGCAUUCUUUAUGCAAAGCAAGCAUAUAAAAGUGAAUUAUCUGUUACUUACCUGAAUUCGGAGCUCUCCAAGAGCGUUCGCCGAUAUGCCCCAUAGUGUGUCUGAUGCUGCCGCGUUCUACCGAACCGAGGAGGGGAGCUGACGGGAAAGGUGUUCUGGUCUCAAUAUGCUGAGGCCGGACAUCCGGUGCCCCUGAGCGACCAGCUAAAGCAGCUGGUCGAGCUCCACAAGGUGGCCGAACAGGCCAUGAAGGGCCUCAUAGUUCAGUUGUGGCGUAGAGAUGCCAUGCCUGGGAGCUACUUCGGUCUGGUGCGGCGGCUGGUGGACGCCUGUCCAUGGAUUGAAGUCAUCAAGCGCUCCGUCUGUAUUGAACAUGCCCGUCGGGCCCUUGCCCGUGCUAAAGUGCACUGGGGCAAGAUGGACACCGAGAAGCUUGUGACGGACGCGCCACCGCCGGGCAAGGAGUAUCGCAAGCCCGACAUGUAUUAUGAGGGCAUCCUGAAGGGUGCCCGACUUAUAGCGGGUGAAUGCUCCAAAUAUGUAAUUUUUGAGUAGACUCGCAUCUGUUAUCCUGUACGCUGAAAACUUUGUUCAUAUGCGCUAAGCAACGCUUGUUAAUUUAAAAUAUUACCUUCUGUGCGACCGUUUAUCAAAUCUGAGAGAUGCAAGUCAUCGGCUUCUACCCCCAUGCCACGAGUGCUGGGGUGUUCGGGAUAAACCUGAGCGCUCUUGUUCCCAUUCUUGGGUCCAUCUAGGGAGGCGCUCAACACAACGAACAAGGCCAUCGGACUUAUAAUGCUUUAUCACUCUCACUUAGCCAUAGAAUUCUAAAAUUUUAAAUUUCGGCGAAGCCCCUAGUAUUCGGAAGACUGAGUUCGGGGCGCUAUCCAUGCCUAGGCCAGAUAAAUCCGGCUCCUCGCUCUAAGCGGCAUAAGUCUUUAGGGACUUGAAAAACCUCGCGAACAGCGACCGGUCUCUCGCACUAUCAUGACGGUCAGUUUUAGCUUUCUCUACUGAGGUGUUAACCCAGCUCAACUGGAGCACAAUCGCAGUAGUUCUCCCAGCGCUACCUUAGCCAACAUUUUGGAACGUAAGGUACCAAAACAUGGGAGCCGGGCAAACCCAACUAUUGACCCAAGACAUGAUUCGGAGCCGAUGCAUAUAGUGCUAUAAGUUCGGGGUGACGCACUCAUGAGAGUGUUCGGUCUUCUCACACCGUGUUAUGGGGUGCUUAAGCCCCUGGUGUAUUGGCCAUACCAAAGUGUACGGUUGCAUAAUGUCAUGACUGAACAUAUUUGUGUAAAAAUAGAUGAAUACAAUAAUAGAUAAGAACUAUGUAUUGUUUAUUAAAAAGGGGCUGCUAUGAAAGCAGAACGAUACAAAUAGUGCGAUAAGAAAGAGAUGUGUUUAUUUGACAUGUCCCCCUCCAGGGGCAAGCUGCGAGACUUUAAGUAAAACAGGUAUUUAGCUCGUUAUAGAGACCACCUGGACAUUUGACGUGGCUUGUUCUCUCCCUGGCUGUUGCAUCGUGUGUUCGGCGAGUGUAUUGCCGGACAGGCCUUCCGGAUAGUUGGGUCCUGAAAGUAUAUAAAAAAAGGAAACGGCAGAAUAGGGAGCCCCUAGUGCGGUUGAGCCGCAUUCUGGGCGUGCCGUGGUUGUGCCCCUCCCCUUAUGCCCAUGGUAUUUCCAAAGCGUAAUUAUGUACGCGUGGUACCGCUAUCGCCAUCUGGCAAGGGUAGGGAUUGCGGCCGCACUGCUAUGCUUGCUCAGAACGUGCCAGCCGGUUUUGUUGUAGGUUACUUCGGGCGCGCUUGACGUUGUCCGGACGUUUAACACCCGGAUUGGAGAAUUGCCUUGAGAGGCUACUUUGUACUUCCGCCGCCAGGGCCGCCGUGUGCUCCUCCGUUCGGAGAGAGUGUUUGGUGUUUCCAUUUACCUAAUGACUCCGCGAGGGCCUGGCAUCUUGAGCUUGUGAUAUGCGUAGUGCGGCACCGCAUUGAAUUUUGCGAAUGCGGUUCAUCCGAGCAGGGCGUGAUAGCCACUGCGGAAUGGGACUAUGUCGAAGAUUAACUCUUCGCUUUGGAAAUUAUCCGGGGAUCCGAAGACCACUUCGAGUGUAACCGAGCCUGUACAGCUGGCUUCUACACCUGGUAUGACGCCUUUAAAGGUUGUCUUUGUGGGUUUAAUCCUUGAGGGAUCUAUACCCAUUUUUCGCACUGUAUCCUGAUAAAGUAGGUUCAGGCUGCUGCCGCCGUCCAUGAGGACUCUAGUGAGGUGAAAUCCGUCAAUGAUUGGGUCUAGGACCAAUGCGGCGAAUCCGCCGUGACGAAUGCUAGUGGGUUGGUCCCUUCAAUCAAAAGUGAUGGGGCAGGAGGACCAUGGGUUGAACUUUGGGGCGACUGGCUCCAACGCAUAGACGUCCUUGAGACCACGCUUCCGCUCCCUUUUGGGGAUAUGGGUUGCGUAUAUCAUGUUCACCGUCCGCACUUGCGGGGGGAAGCCCUUCUGUCCUCUGUUGUUUGGCGGCCGGGGCUCCUCCUCGUCAUCGCAAUGCAGCCCCUUGUCUCUGGUUUCGGCACUUAACUUGCCCGCCUGCUUGAACACCCAACAAUCCCUAUUCGUGUGGUUGGCUGGUUGUUCGGGGGUGCCGUGUAUCUGGCAUGAGCGAUCGAGUAUCCGGUCUAAACUGGAUGGGCCCGGAGGGUUUCUUUUGAAUGGCUUCUUCCACUGACCGGGUUUAGAGCCUCUGAAUCCGGCAUUAACUGUCGUAUCCUUAGUAUUGUCGCUGUUAAUGCGGCUCUUGUGCUUGUUGCGAUGUGACCUGCCAUUGUUGUCCUUGGUAUCCGAAUUGCCAGGGCUCUUGGUUAUGUUAUUGCUACGAGCUAGCCAGCUGUCUUCUCCCACGCAAAAGCGGGUCAUGAGUAUUGUGAGGGCUGCCAUAGAUUUUGGCUUUUCCUGUCCUAGGUGCCGGGCAAGCCAUUCAUCUUGGAUGUUGUGCCUAAAGGCUGCAAGGGCCUCUGCGUCCGGACAGUCGACUAUUUGAUUUUUCUUGGUUAGGAACCGUGUCCAGAAUUGUCUGGCCGAUUCCACUGGCUGCUGGAUUAUGUGGCUUAGGUCAUCAGCGUCUGGUGGUCGCACAUAAGUGCCCUGGAAGUUGUCAAGGAAUGCGGAUUCCAGGUCCUCCCAGCAACUAACUGACUCUGCUGGCAGGCUGUUAAGCCAAUGCCGAGCUGGUCCUUUAAGCUUGAGCGGGAGGUAUUUGAUGGCAUGCAGAUGAUCACCACGGGCCAUGUGGAUAUGAAGGAGAUAAUCCUCGAUCCAUACCGCGGGAUCUGUUGUGCCAUCGUAUGAUUCGAUGUUUACGGGUUUAAAACCCUCGGGGAUUUGAUGAUCCAUUACUUCGUCUGUGAAGCAUAGUGGGUGUGCAGUGCCCCUGUACUGGGCUAUAUCGCAACGUAGCUCGGAUGAGCUUUGUCUGUUGUGUUCGGCCUGGCCGUAUUUAUCAUAUCCGGCGUGACAGUUAUCGUCACGUGACGUGGGGCGCCCAUGCGAUUCGUAGAUCGAUCUUGUUUGCCUUGCCUUAUCCUCCAAUAUGUCUCGCAUGUCUGGUGCGUUUCCCCGUGCUCUGGUAUUUUUGGAGCAGCGCCGGGGUGCGGCUUGAGUUGAGGGCCGAAAGGCCUCUCUGUCGUGGCCACGGGGUGGCCGAUCGGGCGCAUCGUACACUGGUGAUGUAUGUUUAGUUGCUUCCUCCUCUAGUUGGGGUAGCAGCCUGCGCUUUGGGUAGCUCUUGGAGGGGCGUUCGAGUUUAUACUCUUCGGCCGCCAGGACUUCAGUCCAUCUGUCGGCUAGCAAGUCUUGGUCAGCUCUAAGCUGCUGCUGUUAUUUCUUGAGGCUGCUUGCCGUGGCCAUAAGCCUGCAUUUGAAACGCUCUUGUUCGAAUGGGAUCCUCUGGCACGACGAAUUCGUCGUCGUCGAGGCUUGCCUCAUCUUCGGAGGGAGGCAUAUAAUUGUCGUCCUCGACCUCCCUGUCUGCCGCUCUCUCAUGAGGGUUGGCACCUCCGUCCUCCUGCGUUGAAUCCUGCUGGAGGGGGUUGUCAUCGGCACUGUCCAGGGUGUUGUUGUCUCCAGUGCCGGACUCGCCGUUUUUGCUUUGGCGGGAUUUAGAGCGGCGCCGCUGACGUCGGCGCUUGGGUUGCUUCUUGGAGGGGUCGUCCUCCGUUUUUUCAUCGCCAUCCCCUGCUUUGGGGGUGUCCACCAUGUAUAUGUCAUAUGACAAGGUGGCUUUCCAGUGCCUUAUAGGUGCUGGUUCUUGGUCGUCUCCUUCAUCGGCGUCCAUACCAUCGAUGUCUUCGGAGUCGAAGUCGAGCAUGUCGGUUAGAUCGUCGACAGUGGCUACAAAGUGGGUGGUGGGUGGGUUUCGAAUUUCUUCGUCAUCCGCAUCCCAACCAUGCUGACCAUAGUCCGGCCAGGGCUCUCCUGACAAAGAGAGAGACUUUAGUGAAUUCAGGAUAUCGCCAAAGGGCGAGUGCUGAAAGUCGUCCGCGGCGGUGAACUCCAUGAUCGGAGCCCAAUCGGGUUCGAUCGGAAGGGGUGCGGAAGAUUCGGAGUGUGGAACGUAGUCCGGCACCUUGGAGUCACAGGCCUCGCAAAGGACUAGGCUGGUAUCCGGCUCUAUCGCCGUAGAGAUUGCGGCUCCUGGGGCGGCGUCCAACCAUCCGUCCCUGACUGGCAAUGUCGGCUCUGAGCUAAUGGUCGGAGCGGACACCUGAGCGGCGCUCUGGGCGCUGUCCGGCGGUAGAGCUAGAUCAUGCCCAUCGUGACAGUGCGGCGCACUCGGCCGUGGCUCGAAUCCGUCGAAGCUCAAGUCCCCGCGGAUGUCGGCCGUGUACUUUAAGCUUCCAAACCUGACCUGAUGGCCAGGGGCGUAGCUUUCGAUCUGCUCCAGAUGGCCAAGCGAAUUGGCCCGUAGUGCGAAGCCGCCGAAUACGAAGAUCUCUCCGGGGAGAACAUUCUCACCCUGGACCGCGUCAUGGUUGAUGAUCGAAGAAGCCAUCGGGCCUAAAGGUGACGACACAGGGGAACUCUCAAUGAAAGCACCAAUGUCGGUGUCAAAACCGGUGGAUCUCGGGUAGGGGGUCCCGAACUGUGCGUCUAGGUGGAUGGUAACAGGAGACAAGGGACACGAUGUUUUUACCCAGGUUAGGGCCCUCUCGAUGGAGGUAAAACCCUACUCCUGCUUGAUUAAUAUUGAUGAUAUGGGUAGUACAAGAGUUGAUCUACCACGAGAUCAGAGAGGCUAAACCCUAGAAGCUAGCCUAUGGUAUGAUUGUUGUUCGUCCUACGGACUAAAACUCUCCGGUUUAUAUAGACAUCGGAGAGGGCUAGGGUUACAUAGAGUCGGUUACAAUGGGAGGAGAUCUUCAUAUCAUAUCGCCAAGCUUGCCUUCCACGCCAAGGAAAGUCUUAUCCGAACACGGGACGAAGUCUUCAAUCUUGUAUCUUCAUAGUCCGGGAGUCCGACCAAAGGUCAUAGUCCAGCCAUCCGGACACCCCCUAAUCCAGGACUCCCUCAACACCGCUGGAAGGAACAAGUUAGACCAGUACCAGAUCCUGAAGUACCCUCUGACUAUCAAGUGGACUACACACUCAGUCGGACCCUCCAGGAGGAACAAGCUUGACCAGUACCAAAUUCUUAAGUACGUUCUUGGUACCAAGUCGACUGUACAUUGCCAAGUGGAACAAGCUUGAUCAAUAGCAGAUCCCGAAACACUCUCUGAUCUAUCCUCACUCGGCUAGCCCCUGAAUUGGCAAUGAAGAAGACAGAGGGCAACAACACAAGAUGGCCUACUUCACUCAGCUGACUUCCAAGUCAGUAAUGAGGAAAGUUCUACCUAUUACCCCAUCAACACAUGAGUGUCGUCGGGCAUCCCAAACGCCUCAUGAUUGUUCUAAAUACUACUCCCUCUGUCCAUAAAUACUUGUCAUCAAAAUGAAUAAAAAGGGAUGUAUCUAGAUGUAUUUUAGUUCUAGAUACAUCCCUUUUUGUCCAUUUUGAUGACAAGUAUUUUCGGACGGAGGGAGUACCAUUGAUUUCCCGCAAUCGACGGUAGUCUCAGGGACUACAGCCAAUGAGUGCACUCAGCGUGCCCCCAAUGGAAAGAGAUUUGUUGGUGGAGCUGAAAAAACUAAGACUAUCGCCGACUAUUCUAGUCAAUGGUAGCCUCGGGGACUACACCCAGUGGGUGCACUCAAUGUGCCCCUACUGGAUUGUGUCCACUCGACUAUGCUCCGGCAAGAAUCCGAGUGAACAUAAGAAAAUUCAACAAAAAUUUCAAAGACUCAUGACUACUGAUUCCAGUCGUCAGGAGCCUCGGGGACUACACUCAGUGGGUGCACUCAGCAUGCCCCCACUGGAUAUUGUACACCCAGUGGGUGUGCUAUGUGCCCACUGGGGCAAAUCCUAGUACAGAAAAAGAUAAAACUUUGACUGGAAAUCAUACUAACAAUGGUACUUACUCGGACGUUGGUCUGCAGCAGUGUGCUAGCGUCAUAAGCCGCCUUCACUCGGUCGUACAUCAACCCCACCUGGACCAGAGCUUCCUUCCUUGCCCCCACCUGGUAUUCAGGGACACGGUAUAGGGGGAAAGAAGUGACCGGAGUUGAAGGAGACGUAUAGGCAGGCGUUGGAGCCUGAACUGUUGCCGACCAAGUCAGAGGAACCAGCGAGCCCCCUACAGCCAGGACCACUACAGUCGCGGAAGGCGAGCCACUCAGAGCAAGAGGACUUGGCCCCGUAGUUCUUGUGGCGGUCUCUGCCGAAGAAACGCGGGGAACUUGGCGAGGGGAAGCGCCCGACAUUGGUACAUCCACACUCGGCGCCUUCUCCGGCUUAGGCGAAGCAUUCCUUUCGUCAUCAUCCAGCUGAAUGAUUUAUGGUGGAGCUAAAUGAAUACACAAACCAGAAGAGUCAACGAAGACCAGUCAGUAGAUAGUCAAGCACCAUGAGUAGUUGGCAUGAAGUUACCUUUGGAGGUGGCGGCAUCCGCCACAUCAAUAUCACCCGGGCAGAGCAUACGGGUGUGCGGGUCCGCCGAAGUGGUCGAGGUGUCAUUACUACAAGGAUCAGAAAACAGUUGGUGAACAAUCAAAUCAAUACAAAAAUAGAUAAAGAAUGGACCAGAGCACUCACGUCGAGGCCACGGGAACGGCACCUUGAUCCAAGGUACCGCAACCUUUCGGGGCUUGGAGGAGAUCUACUUGGGCAACUUGGGCUGGUUCUCCGCUGAACUCUCAGCCUCGGCAUGAGCACGCUUCAAGCUCCGAGUGGUCUGACCAGAAACAGUCGACCGCUGGGCCCCACUCGCCUUCCCCUUUGGCUCAUGCAGCGCCUUGGAGUGGGGUUCCUUGGGAACCUCAUAGGAUGAAUAGGACUCCACCUCAUCCCCCUCCUUGGAACACUCCUCCUUGUCGCUCUCCACAUCAUCGUCACUCUUUCAUCAUCGGAUUCCUCGGAGUACUGCCACUCGGUGUCGGUCGUCACGUCUUCAGGUGACCGAUCCACCACUGGGAUAUUGGAAAUCAUGUUCUGAAACUCCUGCAGAAGUAGACAUAGCGAGACAUCAAAAUCAGUCACAGAAAAAAAAAAAA